GUUUAGAGUUAAGGGGUUGGGUUUUGAGGAUGAGUUUAAAUUUUUAAAAAUAAAAUAUAAAUAUUAAAAUUUUCAAAAUAAAAAAAGCUAUUUUAGUCAUUUUAUUUUUUAGGGUUAUUUUUGUGACAAAAACUUAAAAAUGAUUAUUCGAAAGAAUUGUCUUUUCUUAUAUGUUUGUUAAUUUUGUAUGCUCCACUAAAUUAUUUGUAUCUUUUUCAUUUCUUAUCAAAAUUAGCAAAGAAGGCAACAUAAGUAAUAAAUACUAUUUAUUUCAUACUAUAUAUUAUUUUGUUUAUAUUCAUUUUUUGUUUUCAUUCCUAUUGUCAUUUUGAUAGUCACAGUUUAAAACUAAAGACUAAGAUCGAAUUUAUUCAAGCAUACUUAGAAUGAAGAGAUCAACUCUUAAACCACAAACUUACAAGACACAAAACCUGAGUCUGAGAGGAAAAUUGAGACCUAAACAAGACAACUAUCUUAUAACGUCAAUAUGGUCACGACAAGAUUGGAUUUGAGAUUCGUUUCGGUCUAGAGGAGAUUCAUGGAAGAACUAUGGUUUUAACUAGUGUUCGGAGAGAGGAAUGCAAAAACAAUAUAAGCAACAGGUUCAUUAGACACGCUUACAUUUGAUCAGACUGCAUAUGACAUAAUAUCAGAUGAGCCAAUAAAAUAUGAUAAUAACUAAUUAUCCCUGCAUUAUAAUUGACAUACCCACCAUUUCUAUCAUUUUAUCGCUCUAAUCAAAUGUUGAUUAAGAAAUUAUUAAUUCACUAAUAUACAUUCUUAUUUUUUUUGUCUAUAUACACAAUAAAAAUAGAUACUCCCAUAAUCCCAUUCCUUAAUUUAUCAUCUAUUGUUUCCAUCAAAUCUGCUUUGAAAAAAUCAAUGUGUUUGCUAUGUAGCAAAAUUUAGCAAAAACAAAUAUAGACAAAACCCAAAUUUAAAAUCUCAGUGAUAUACCUCAUCAAAAUAUCCUAGUUAUAAAUACACUACAUGACAACAAAAGAGAACAAUCUCAAUCUUAAUCUUAUUCAAGAAUCACAAAAAGGUAAAGAGAGAGAUUCAUUAGAAAAAUGGCGAUCGUGGGCCCUCAAUUUUGCGCACCGUACCCGGUAGAUUUGGGUAUCGUACGUAAGGUUAUGACGAUAACAGACGGUAACUUCGCCGUCACAGACGUCAACGGAAACCUCCUUUUCAAAGUGAAAGAACCAUUGUUUAGCCUCUCCGACAAAAGGUUCUUACUAGACGCUUCAGACAAUCCGAUUAUGACGUUGAGAGAAAACGUAAGAACACAAAACACUCUUGUUUUAUAACUUGUGCAUGGAUUAAGACACAUGAUUUAACUUUUUGUUAUGAAAACAUUUGUGCAUGUAUUAAGACACAUGAUUUAACUUUUUGUUAUGAAAACAUUAUAGAAGGUGAGCCUGCACGAUAGGUGGCAAGUAUUUAGAGGGAAGAGUACAGACCAAAAAGAUUUGGUGUACACGUUGAAACGAUCGUCAAUGAUUCAAUUGAUGAAGCCAAAGCUAGACGUGUUUUUGGCUCAAAACAAGGAAAUGAAGAUAUGUGACUUCCAUGUUAAAGGAAGUUGGAUCGAUCGAUCAUGCGUCGUCUACGCCGGCAAAUCUGAUGCCAUUGUUGCUCAGGUAAUCAUAUUUCAUCAAUAACCGGUCCAUAUAGAUAGUUCAUACACAGAGCCGUUUAUAUAGACUUAAUCGGAUGAAACAUUAAUUUUUGCCUCUAAAAUUUUUAAACCGAUUUACACAGGUCCAUAGUAGCUAGCUAAUUUCUAUUAACAGAACUGACUUUAAGCACAAUCGAAUGAAAAUAUUUGUUUUGUUUUCCAAAUUUAAAGAACUACAUAUGUAAAUCGCAUGGUCCUAAAUUAUCAAAAAAAUCUUAUUGAAAUUAAAUUGUUUUUUUUUAUUAUACCAUGUUCAUAUAGUCCGAUCGUACUAAUUUUUUUGUUUGUAUGGUUUCUCAGAUGCACAAGAAACAUACCGCGCAGAGCAUAUUAAUAGGGAAGAGUAACUUCUCGGUCACGGUUUAUCCGAACGUUGAUUAUGCUUUUAUAGUCUCUCUCAUUGUAAUUCUCGAUGACAUUAACCGAGAAGAUUCUGAAGACUAAACACACAAUUUUAAUGGAAUGAUUCUUGUUUUGUAAUAGUAUGAAAUAAGAAUUCGUGAAUCUUGAGGUUUUGUAUUGAUAUGAAUAUGAUAGGGCUUUUUGCAGAAUUGACCUAUAACUUAAAGUCAAACAGAAAACUAAUUUUUUUUUUUUUUUAAAUUGGUUUUGCCCUAUUCACCCCACAAGUUCAUAUAAUUUACGAAAAUGUCAUCAAUUUUUUUUUUCUUUUUUUUUCGAAAAUGACAUUUUUACUCUCUCACCCUCAUCAUCUUCAAGUAAUUACAAGAUUGCCAUUGUCAUCGAUACCACAACCACCAUGAACAACCAAUUUGAAGCUCUUAAUGCUCCCAAAAUCGAUUUACCCUUCUUCUUUUUCCAUUCUUGUGAACUAAACACAACAUAUCUCUCACUUUCUCUCCACAAUGAGCUAAAAAAACCCAAGAUUUUGAUUCUAAAUUUUUUAUGGUUCAUAGAGUCAUAGAAGCUAACGAUUCUGGGUGGGUUACUUUCGUUUGUCAUUCUGUGUGCUUGGAGAAGCCUUAUGUAUGCUAAGGAACUUAUCUCACCAAUUUAAGGUAUGACAUCGAGUUUUUUUCCAGAUCUGUUCGUCAGACGACUUACUUGGGAAGUCGUCUGGCUGUAGACAACUUACCUGGAAGUCGUCUGGUCAACGCAGAGGUUAUUUUUGCAAUUGACUUUGAAAUCUGUAACCUGAGACGACUGAAAUGUAAGUCGUCUAGCUUUUUUGGAGUUUUUUUUUAGCCAAACAAUAGUAGACGACUUAUUUUUCAGUCGUCCGAAAUAACAGAUUUCAAAGUCAAUUGCAAAAAUAACCUCUGUGUUGACCAGACGACGUAUAGUUUAGUCGUCUGGACAACUUAGAUUGAAGUCGUCCGCGUCUUCUCCGCUAGUUUUUAAGUCUUCUACGUUAGUUUUUGAAUAACUUGUAUUUUUAAGAGUGAUAAGUAACUUCAAGAUAUGUAAAACUCAUAUUUACAAAAUAUGUUCUCUCCCUUAGUUUUACUAAAUUUGACUAAGUUUUUCAACGCAAACUUAUAAUAAAAUAUGAUAUGCUUUGACUAGUUACUAUUGUUUGUUUUCAUCUCUUAAGUAUUAUUGUUAUAGACAAUAAUGAUGACUAUUGUUAUGAGUUGGAAGAAGGGUUAAAAUACUUCUUAAAAUGUUGUAUCAAUAUAAAGCUACCAACAUUCUUGUUUAUUAAGAUGAGAAAAAGGCCAUUGGAGUUUAUUAUUGCAUAUGAGAGAUCCAAAGAUAAGAAAAAGGCUACUGAAGUCUAUUAUUUCAUUGAUUUGUAAAUGUGUAAACACAUUGUUAGCACAUUUAAUACAUCUUGGAAAACAUUAUUACUGAUUUUACAAAAAAUUCACAACUAAAAGAGUAGACAUGCAAUUCACAAAACAGACCACAAACAAAACUAUUAUAGAUCAUUCCUCUACAAAGACAAGCUUGGAUUCCACUUGAGUAGACAAGACCACACGACUUGUAAGAAGUCCAGACGACUUCUAAGAAGUCCAGACGACUUCCAAGAAGUUCAGACGACUUUGUCAGAAGACUUUUAGGAAGUUCAGACGACUUUACAGGAAGUCCAGACGACUUUACAGGAAGUCCAGACGACUUUACAGGAAGUCCAGACGACUUUACAGGAAGUCCAGACGACUUUACAGGAAGUCCAGACGACUUUACAGGAAGUCCAGACGACUUUACAGGAAGUCCAGACGACUUUACAGGAAGUCCAGACGACUUUACAGGAAGUCCAGACGACUUUACAGGAAGUCCAGACGACUUUACAGGAAGUCCAGACGACUUUGUCAGAAGACUUCCAAGAAGUCCAGACGACUUCCAGACGACUAACAGGUAAGUCGUCCCAGAAGUCUUCCAGAUCUGAAAAACCUGCAUAUUAAAUCCAGAUCUGAAAAACCUGCAUAUCCAAAAACGUUCAAAUGACUUAAAAACAGAAAAAAUGUGUGAAAGAUUAGAUAAAUCUACCUUUACAGAACACACAAAAAUACAUAUCUAAAAAUAAUAGAUCUACCUUUAAAUUAGUGGAAGAUGAGUACCAUCUAAUUAAAAACCUGCAAAAAAGAUAGAUUAGUAAGAAAGACAUGAGACAAAACUGGAAAAUUCAUAUAAAGUUUGGUGUUUUCAAGUCAAAGAGAUUAGAGUGGGUUUGGAGAGUUUUAGUUUGAGAAAAAAGUAAGAACUUUAUACAACAAGAAGUUCCCAAAUGAAGAAAAAUCAGACAUAAGAACUUACCAAAACGCUCAGAUCUAUUAUGAAAGGAAGACUUCGUCAGAAGACUUCCAUGAAGUUCAGACGACUUCCUGGAAGUCCAGACGACUUCCUGGAAGUCCAGACGACUUCCUGGAAGUCCAGACGACUUCCUGGAAGUCCAGACGACUUCAGACGACUUCCUGGAAGUCGAAGUCCAGACGACUUCCUGGAAGUCCAGACGACUUCCUGGAAGUCCAGACGACUUCCUGGAAGUCCAGACGACUUCCUGGAAGUCCAGACGACUUUGUCAGAAGACUUCCAAGAAGUCCAGACGACUUCCAGACAACUUCCAGACGACUAACAGGUAAGUCGUCCAAGAAGUCUUCCAGAUCUGAAAAACCUGCAUAUCAAAUCCAGAUCUGAAAAACCUGCAUAUCCAAAAACGUUCAAAUGACUUAAAAAUAGAGAAAAUGAGUGGAAGAUUAGAUAAAUCUACAUUUAUAAAACACACAAAAAUACAUAUCUAAAAUUAAUAGAUUUACCUUUAAAUUAAUGGAAGAUGAGUACCAUUUGAUUAAAAACCUGUAAAAGAGAUAGAUUAGUAAGAAAUACAUGAGACAAAUAGAUUAGUAAGAAAUACAUGAGACAAAACUGAAAAAUUCAUAUAAAGUUUGGUGUUUUCAAGUCAAAGAGAUUAGAGAGAGGUUGGAGAGUUUUAGAAUGAUGAACAUUACAUUUUUGUUGCAGCCAUUUGAGAGGAGGAGAGAGAAUGUGUAAAUUUUUCUUUAUAUAGGGAGACAAAAAAUCCAAUUAGAUUAAAUAUUUUUUACUCAGACGACUUCCUGGACGACUUACAUUUCAGUCGUCUGGUGAAGAAAUUAAAACAGACGACUUACAUGUAAGUCGUCCAGAAGAGUUUAAUAUUUUUAGCGGGAAAUUAAAUAUUUUUAGCGGGAAACUAAAAUAGAAGACUUUCCAGACGACUUACAAGUAAGUCGUCUGGUUUAAAUUAUUUAAGCGGGAAAAUAAUUUUUUUAAAAAAAUUUAGGCGGGAAUAUUUGGACGACUUACAUGUAAGUCAUCUGUUUUAAUUUCUUCACCAGACGACUGAAAUGUAAGCCGUCCGAGUAAAUUAUUCAACAGACGACUAAAAUAUACGUCGUCCGAGUAAAUUAUUCAACAGACGACUGAAAUAUAAGUCGUCCACACCCUAAACAUAACCCCUAAACUUAAUUAUCUAAUUAAAGACUUCAUAAAAUCAAAUCAAACUUGAAAAGUGUUUACUAUACACAUAAAUAAACACAUAUAGGUGAAAACUAAUUUUUGAAAAAAACAUUUUAGUUUUCCAAAAUUAACCCUAACAAUACAUACAAUACUACAACAUAUGUUUGCCAAACUCCUAAACCAAAGUAUUUCAUGAUUCACUACUUCCACUCAUCUAUCUUCAAAACAAAUCAAUUUUAUCAUAUCUUAAUUUAUAUCACUUAAAACUGUUUAUAAUUACUUGAUUUUUAUUUUUCACGCAUCAAAAUAUUUUUUUACAAGAUUUAUAAAUUAUUUUUAAAAUAAACUGGUACCAGACGACUUAAACUUCAGUCGUCCAGACGACUUCCAACAUCUCAGACGACUCAGACGAUUUACUGGGACUAUAUUCGUAAAAAUGGCUUCUAUUUUUUUGUUUGGUCACAAGGGGUUGAGCUGUAAUUUCACUAGGCUUUUAGGUUAGUUUUGCAUUUGAUUCAAGUUUGGGUAUAGGUUUGGGAUUAAAAUCAAGUUGUGGGUUAGUUUUGGCGAAAACCCCAAUAUGAUAUUUGCAUGGAUACAUUUCUCUUUGUCUCGACAGAGGAUUAUCGAAAGCUUCAGGGUUAUUCAGUUCCUUGAACAGGUAAUCGACUGUACUCUUGAUAAGUGUAAGAGCAUGAUUAUUGCAAAACCCUAUAUGAGGGGUUCUUAUUAUUUAUUUAAUGCUUUUAAAUAGAAAAAGUGAUUUAAGAGACAAAAUUAAGAAAUCCUAACUUUUAAGUGCUUGUUCUUAAAUUAAGGCUCUUAAAAAAAUUAUUAAACAUAUUUUUAUUAAACCUUAAUUUUUUUGAUUAAAUAAAACAUACUAAAAUAAAACAUUUUAAACAUAGACUUUUAAAUAAAAUUAUAAAAACAAAGAUUAGUAAAGUGAAGAAGCAUUCGAAUCAGCUGUUGUCUUCAUCACGUCCAAAUUUAAGCCAUACAUGUUCAACCAAAUCAUCUUUCAGUUGUUGAUUCAUUUGUCUAUCACGAAUUCUAACACGAACACCCAUCAUAUUGGCGAUAUUUGUAUGGAUAUCUGUAGAAUACGUGAGAUCUACAUGUGAACUUCCGUUGUCUUUUCUUUGUUGGAACUCCGAAACAUCAAAUUGAGUGUAUCCAUCUCGUUCGUCUUCUACUAUCAUAUUAUGGAGUAUGAUACAUGCUCGCAUAAUCUUCUCAAUUUUGACUUUAUCCCAAAAAAGUGCUGGAUUUUUAACAAUGGCAAAACGAGCUUGCAAGACUCCAAAAGCACGCUCGACAUCCUUCCGGACAGCUUCUUGAUGUUGAGCAAAUAAAACUGCUUUCAGCCCUUUUGGUAUUGGAAUAGAUUGGAUAAAAGUUGCCCAUUUCGGAUAAAUACCAUCGGUGAGAUAGUAAGUCAAAUGAUACUCUCUUCCAUUGACAUAGUAAGUGACUUCCGGAGCAUGACCCUUUAUUAUGUCAUCAAAAACAGGUGAGCGAUCAAGAACAUUAAUAUCGUUUAAGGUACCUGGAGGUCCAAAAAACGCGUGCCAUAUCCAGAGAUCAUAUGAAGCAACCGCUUCUAAAACGAUGGUUGGUUUUCCAGAACCACGACAAUAUUGCCCUUUCCAAGCAGAGGGACAAUUCUUCCACUCCCAAUGCAUACAAUCGAUGCUUCCUAUCAUCCCGGAAAAACCACGAUACUCUCCAAUAUCAAGUAGACGUUGAAGAACAGCCGGUGUUGGUCUUCUUAGGUACUCAUCGCCGAAUAAAUUUAUUAUUCCUUCCACAAAAUGUUCCACACAUUUACGAGUUGUUGAUUCACCGAGACGUAGGUAUUCAUCGACCGUAUCAGCCGCAGUACCAUAUGCCAAGACACGAAUAGCUGCUGUACACUUUUGGAGUGUAGAGAGACCAAGCCUUCCAAGAGCAUCUUUUUUUUGGCGAAAAAAUUGAACUUCAUUGGAGAGUCUAUCAACAAUGUGCAUGAACAAUGGCUUCUUCAUUCUAAAACGUCGUCGGAAAAUAUUUUCAGGAUACGUUGGAGUUUCACUGAAAUAAUCAUUCCAUAAACGUACAUGACCUUCUUCUCGAUUUCUUUCGAUAUAAGCUCGUUUUUUUCUUUUUUUCCUUGCUUCUUCUUCAUCACCAUAAGCAAUGGUCAAAUUCUCUAACGUUGUAUCAAAACAUUGAUCAAAAAAUUGAUCAAAAUGUUCAUCAAAAGCGUCAUCUAAUGAUCCUUCAAAAGUAUUAUGAGAAGAGGAUGCCAUUGUUUUGAUUAUUUUUGAUCAAUUGUUUUUGAUUGUUUUGUUUGGUGAGAAGAUGAAAGAAAAGGUAGUUGAUUGUUUUGUUUGGUAAGACGGCAAAAAAGGGUAUAAGGUGAGAAGGUGAUAAGGUGAGAAGGUGAUAAUAAGAGAACAAUGCGAGAAUGAGAAGGUGAUAAAAUGUUUUUGAUUGUUUUGUUCGGUGAGAUGGAAUGUGAGAAUGAAGGUUUUGAUACUUAUGCUUGGAGAGAAUGCAACUUUAUAUAGAGUUAACACAAAUCCGCAGAAGACACUACAACAUCCCGUGACACUACACUACAACAGAGGCAUGACUACAAUAAUGGCCCGUGAUCAUUACACUACAACAGGAAUGGCCCGUGGAACUACACUACAACAGAAGCAUGACUACAAGAAUGGCCCGUGACACUACACUACAACAGGUUCUGAUACAAAAGAGUACACUACACAAGACACGACUACAAGAAUGGCCCGUGGUCAUUACAAGGCAUGUGAAGCUCUCUUGUCUUAUACACAUCAUCAAGCAGUCUUCUUCACCUGAAACAAACACAUGUAGAAUGAGAACAUGUUAAAUGACAAGAAUUUUUAAUUUAUUAACAAGAGAAAACAUCACGAGAACUAGAAACAGAGAUAAAAACAUUAGCAAGAACAAGAACCCGACAAAGAUAAAACUUAACAAGAAAACAUAACAUUAACCGUACCAAGACCUACUUAGACUAAUCAGUCAUUAACUCGGUAAUGAGCUUCUUUUUAGAGCUUCUUCGUAAUCUUGAAGCGGAUCUUGUUUAGCAAUGAGACUGUCAAGCAACUUCAUCUUUGACAGUCUUUCCUUCAUAACCGAAUCCUGCAUCUUUAUGCUCCACAUUGUCUGAAACUGUGAGAGGUCCUUCCCCUCACCCAUGCGUUUCUUACCACUGGCUUUUGCAGACUUAACACCCUGGGGACGGUUACUUCCCUCAUCAUCUAUAACACUGGGGACAGAGCUUGCUGACUGUGAACCUUCGUCACACUUCCUCUUCUUGGAGCUGCCAUCAUUUUUGGCCGUGUAAAGGGCACACCACUUCUGGUCAUUUCUCAACUCCUUCCAAGCAUGUUCAAGGGUGAACUUCUUGUUAUGGUUGGUGAAGAAGAUUUUGUGGGCAAGUUUGAGAACAUCAUUCUCAUUUUUCCCACUUCUUUUCUCUCUGGUUGCGGCCUCAUAUGCUCCAGCAAACUUGGACACUAAGUCAUUGAUCUUCUGCCACCUCUGCUUGCAGUGAGAUGGCUCUCUUUUUUCACAGCCACCAACCUUAGGACUAGCCUCAAAAUAUGCUGCUACUCUCUUCCAGAAAGCUACUGACCUUUGCUCAUUCCCGACAAGUGGAUCUUUGCUCGUGUUUAACCACGAGCUGAUCAACACUACAUCAUCGGUUGGACUCCAAGUCCUUCGUUCCUUACGCUCUGAAGGAGUCUUGUGUUCGAAGUUUCUACCCUCAGUAGCUUGAGUGCUAAGAAAAGGAAUAGAAGGAGAUUCUACACCUACGGAAGUAUCUUGUUGACUUUGAAGAAGAUCAACAAAAUUUAGAUUCAUAUACGGAUUAGAAUCCAUAUUUGAAAAUGUCUACGAAGAGAAGAAGGGGCCUGUUUGAUAUAUGGAAGAGAACAAGUUCUCUGAUUUAUAGCAGAGAUAGACACGAAGGCAUCACUUCUAACAAGUUCUCGAGUAGACAUUUAUCUAUAAACCACAUCAUUAAUCACUUCUAUUUAUAACUCAUACAACACCUCAAUUUAUGACCAUCCACAACGAGACUAACCAAAGCUUUUUUCAAUUCAAUAUAGCAAAGAGACCAUCACUUCUAUUAAAUACCAACACCAAAAUGACUUGACAUUUAUCUAUUAACCACAUCAUUCAUUACUCUCGGUUUAAUUCAUCACAGAAGUUAAUUCGAAUUGUUACAGAAGCUAAAUCAAUGCAUUUCAAAGAGUAACAGAAGCAAUAAUCAAUUCAUUUCAUUUCAUUAACAGAAGCUAAAUCAAUUAUGAUCGGUUAACAUAAGCUAAAUCAAUUAACAGAAGCUAAAUCAAUUCAUUCACUAACCUGUAUACACGGAUGGACGUUGAAGAUGAACCUCCCUCAUGUUUCUUUCCAUAGAACAAGUCCAUCUCCUUCGCCAAAGACAAACAAAAAGAAUGAAUCAACCAGAAACCAACCAAACCGACCUGACUGCUAGCUAACUCAUUCAUCACAAAAGCUAUAUCUAUUCAUUUCUAUCUAACCAUAAUCUUACACAGUCAUUAAUUAGCCUCGAUUCAAUUCAUCAUAGUACGUAAAUCUAUUCAUUGCAGUUCAGUUCAAAGCAGAUGAAAUAGUAAAAGAAUCACCAGUAAAUUGAUCGAAAUAAUUCAACAAACUAAUCAAUCUAGAUACAGAACCGAACACAAAAAAAUUCCCAAUUGAUCGAACACAAGUAAUUAAUCAAUCUACAGAACCGAACACAAAAACAAAAUCAAUCUACAGACAGAAAAUGCAAAAUCUGAGACAUGCAUGAUUGAAAAACAACAAAUAGAAGCUUAACCUUUGGAUUGAGGAGAGGAUGGAGACGCGAGCGCCUUCUGGAGAGAGAGAGAGAGAGUGAGCCCAACGGAGAGGUCCGUCGAGGAGACCCACAGAGAGGGUGAGAAUCACGGAGGAGAGCCAUGGAGACAGACGUCGCGAUCUCGUCGAGGAGCAACGGAGAGAAAGAUAAUCGCCGAUUUCGUCGCCACGAAGAGGGUGAGAAUCACGGAGGAGAGCCAUGGAGACAGACAUCGCGAUCUCGUCGACGAGCAACAUAGAGAGAGAGAAUCGCCGAUUUCAUCGCCACAGAGAGAAAGAGCUUUCGAGAGAGAGAGAGAGAAAAGACGAAACGAAGAAGAAACAAACCUCUCCUCUCUCCUCUCAAACGCCUACACGUGUCAAUAGGAGCCGACUCUUCUUUAGCCAAAUUAAGACACGGUUCUAGUUUAAUUAUGUGUUUUUCCUUUUUUUUUAAACCCAAAUUAGCUUAAGAGCCAGGUUAAGACCCCCCGAUAUUAAUGCUCUAACAUUUGACUUAAACAGCUCCUUCUUAUUCACUACUCUCUUUUUCGUACUUUUUAUUCUGGUAAAAGCAUCUCCAACUCAUUCUAUUCUUUGGUUUAAAAUAGUUAAAAAUGUUUUAUCCUGUAUUUUAAGACAAUCUUCAAUACAACUAUAUUUUUCCUCUAUAACAAAAUUACUCUAUAAUAAAGACUAAUAUAUAAAUGUUUAGAAAAAAAUAGAAUAGUAUUGGAGAUGGUCUAAUAAUGUAAAAUAUGAAUUUACUAUAUAAAUUGAGUAAUCCAUUUAUUUCUGUUAAUCACUCUACUUUCCCUCUAAAAUAUAUUAUCAUUAGAAUAGAACUAAUUCUAUUAUAGAAUUAUUCUAUUUUUUUUUUUUUAAAUGAACCAUUGUUGGUGAUCUAAGGAUCAUUAUGAUUAAGGUUUGAUUGUAUAAUGCAUGUAAUUUAUCUAAAUACGUAACAAAAGAUUUUACCAAUGGUCCAACAUGAGAAAAGAUUGGGAAAUUUCCAAAUGUUUUUUUGAUCAACAAUUUUGGUAAAAGGGUAAGGGUAUUUUCCUUUUUAUACAAAGCAAAUGGUGUGACAUCAUGGAAUGGUAUAUUCCAGCGAGAAAAUAGCUCUACAUGUCAGCCACGGAUGAUGAUGAUCCCAAUCCAAUCUUGAAUGAGAAUUUGAUGCAUGUUAACUCCUUGCGCCCGCCAUCAAGCAUCUUCAUCGUAAGUGAGUAUUUACCCUAUGAGAAGUAACAUGAUUAGAUUGCUCCAUAAAUGCAGAAUCCAACCAACAAUUUCUGCUAUGGAAAAUAUAAUAAACUAACGAUCAUAUUAAGCAAUCUUGGCAACUACUAGGCCAUUUGUUAUGUUUGCUAUAGGAUAACAUAAAAUUCAAAUCAGCCUAAUGAAUCAGCCUGGUAGAGUAUAUCCCACAAAUCCAGGGGCAGAUCUGGGCACAGCCCAUCAAAAGAUCUAAGCAAAAAGAGAUAAAGAACACUCAAUAAACUUACAGGAGGAGUAUAACCGGGUAGAACUUGCGAGUGCGCUACUAAGAAAUCUCCAACUGCCACUGGACAACUUGUCUCAUCACAAAGAUCAUGCGUCUCAGAAUGAAUAUGCCACCCAAAGUAUGACACUUCGAUCACCAGCUUUCCUCGUGAGAUCACAUUAUCUUCAUAUUACACAAAUCCAAAAAAAAAAAAACACACACCACAAACUCCAUUUAAUUCUAUCAAACUUCUUGAAGAACAAUUAGAAAACAAGAACAAUAACGAUCGAUCUUAGAACAUAACAAGUUCAAUUUUGCAACACUUAAAAAACACCUAUAGACACUUUUACAGAACAAAACAUCACAACAAACAAAGAUCUUUGCGUUAUAUGUAAUGAAUGUGUGUACUUGUGUUAGCAGAGAUGCUGAAAGUGGCUGGCUGGCCAGUAACUAUAGGAUCAGGCGAUAUAUCAACUCCAUGGACCUUUACUUGAUACUCUUCGUUAUUAUCUGCAACCAAACACAUACCAAAUCAGAUCAAGAUUCUGGGUUUCUCUCCAAACUUAAAUCAUCAAAGACAUUGACUUUGAACUGAAACUAAGAUUCAAACAUCAAAACCCAUCUAAAGAACAUCACCAAACCUCAACGCAUCACGAACCCAGAAUCAAAAGUCAUCGACUUUGGCCACAACUGGAUCAAAAACACUAUAAACAAGACGAAACUCAGUUGAAUUCAAAGGGACCAAACAUACCACAGUAACUGACAUCGGUGGCUCUAACAAUCGUCGAGACGAAGAGAAGACAAGAGAGAAUAGCGAGAGCAAAUCUCGACAUGAUUGAUAGAUUCUCGGAGCAGAAGAAGAAGAAGAAGAAUAUUUUUUUUUUCAGGAGUUUGAGAUGAUGAUUAGAGAGGACAAAGGAGACUAAAAACAAGCAAAGAGACAGAACAUACAUGCUUGAAUCGGGAUUCUCGUUUCACAAGGAAUGUCUGAUAGAUCUUGACCGUUCGUUUAGGUGGGUCCUUGAUUCUUGAAAAUUGACGGUUUGGAUUUUGUAGAAUGUGUGGUUAACCGCAGAGGAUUUUGGCAGUGAACAAACCGUUAGGUGGGAUUUUUGUGUAUAAUUUCAAUUUGUGGUCAUCACUUGGCAACAAAAAAUAGUUGGAAUUUGCCAGCUCAGAUUUGACGUUUUUUAAUAAUACAGCUCAGAAUUGACUACUACUAUUAUUUUGGAAACAAAUAGAAUAAUUUAUUAGUUCAAUGAAUCUUUCUCUUCCCAACAUGAAAUCUAUUUAUAAAUAAAACACUUCUUCCUAAAUACUCUCUCGUUAUAUAUAUUAAAAAAAACACAUUAAAUUAUGAUAAUAAAUAUAUAAUUUUCUGUAAUUUUCAAUAAUUUCUAACCAAUAGUAAUUCAAUAAAAUUAAUUAAUACUCUCUCAUUUCACAAAGAUAGAUUUUUUAAUAUGUUUACACAUAUUAAGAAAACACAUUAAAUUACGAUAAUAAAUAUAUAAUUUUCUGUAAUUUUCAAUUUUCAAUAAUUUCUAACCAAUAGUAAUUCAAUAAAAUUAAUUAAUUUUCUUAAAGUUUACAACUUUUUAAUAAAAAUAAAAAAAUACAUUUUUGUGAAACAAACUUUUUUUCUAAAACAUCCAUCUUAAUAAAAUGGAAGGAGUAUAAAUUAAUUUUAGAGAUUUUAUCACCUUUUUAGUACUCCCUCCGUUUCGUAUUAUUUGUCGUUUUAGAAUUAAAAUUUUGUUUCAUUUUAAGUGUCGUUUUAUGUUUUCAAUGCAAAAUUUAAUAACAAUAUUCUCCAUUUUAUUUUUUUAUUGGUUGAAAUAUGGUUAGAUAUAUAGGUAAUGAUGUUUUUAUUUUGGAAAUAUGCAAAAUUAAAAGUUUUCUUAAUCUGUGUGCAUAAACCUAAAACGACAAAUAAAUUAAAACGGAGGGAGUAUUAUUUAUCUAAAUCAUUAUUGCGAGAUGAUAUGACACCUAAUGGUGGUCAUUUUUGUUAAAAUAUGAUAAAUUAUUUUCCAUUUAUUAUAUUUAAAUUAAAAUUAAUGUCAAACUUAUAUAUUGUUUAAUGAGAAAUUUCCAAUGAUAACUGUUUUUAAUUUUUUGUCACAAAAAAUAAUUUUCAAUAAAAAAAUGACCAAAAUAAAUUUUAUUAAAAAGUAAAAAUGCAUUUAUACCAUAGCAUUAAAUAAUCUAUACUUAAGUUUAGAGUUAAGGGGUGGAUUUUGAAGAUAUAAUUUCAAAAUUUUAAAAUAAAAAGGGUUAUUUUGUUCAUUUUCUUUAUUAAAAGCUAUUUUGUGACAAAACUUUUUUUUUUUAAUUAUUUGAGAGAAUUGCCCUAUAUGUAUUCUAUUUUAUUUUUUAUUUUUCUAGAAUUUAUGAAAAAAAAUGGUAAAUAGAGAAUUGCCCUAUAUGUAUUCUAUUUUAUUUUUUAUUUUUCUAGAAUUUAUGAAAAAAAAUUGUUUCUCUGAAGAUUUUGUGAAGGAUAGAAUCGGCCAAAGUUCUUAUCUUAUUUAUCUAUUCAAUUUUUAGUAUCAUUUUUUUCUUCAUUUUGUUUUUUUUUUUUUUCUGUAAAAAUAUAGUUUAUUAUACAUUAAACAUUAUUUUUAGGCCCUCUUGGCUCAGGCCCAUAAGCUAAAAGGCUUAUUUGAUAAAUCACACUGACAACAAUUCGGAGCAAGAAGUUUCAAAGGAGCUUCUUUUUUUUUUUGGGUCCUUUUGACAGAUGGCUAGAUUCCUUCUCCUCUGUUUCCUCUUCGCGGCGGCGCUGACGUCAUCGUCGACGGAAGCCGGCGACGACAAUAGAGUCUACUCUCCUUGCUCAGAUUCAACAGUCGCGGUAGGCGACGGAUUCACUUUCGGCAUUGCCUUCGCGGCGAGAGCUUCUUUCUUUGGCACCAAUCGUUCCGUUCAGUACUCUCCCUGCGAUCGUCGCCGCCUCUCCCUCAACGGUAACUCUGAGCUCGCCGUGUUCAGACCUAAAGUCGAUGAGAUCACACUUCUCACCAUCAAUACCUCCUCGAGCUCCUCUAGUUUCAGCGCGGUUCGUUCUCAAUCUCUGAUCUAUCGUUGGGGGGGGGGGGGGGGGUUNNNNNNNNNNNNNNNNNNNNNNNNNNNNNNNNNNNNNNNNNNNNNGGGGGGGAGUUUCAGUUGGAUCUGAAUUUCUCAGACCAGAUUAGUUUAGUUUCUUGACUUGUCGGAAUCUCAGGCUUAGAAAGUUGGCGACUUUGCUCUGUUGACAAGUUUGGUAGUUGUCUUUGAUGCUAAGCUAAUUGUCAGACAUCUCUUGUAUCAAUGUCCUAAUGUGUAGAAAAGGUUUUGCAAGGUCUUGUUUUCAUUCUGCAUUUUUUUUGUUUCAGUUAGAUUAGAAGUUGAUAAUCAGCUGAUACCCCGGCUUCUAAAGAAUUAGGUGAUAAGCAGGUUAACUUAUGUUGUGUAUGUCAUUAGAGUACUAGUGUAGAUAUUACUGGCAUAAGUUGAUUUUUGUAAGCUUCAUUGCCAAACAUGAUAUGAGAUCACUAAAAUUAUUACUUUUGCUUAAAAGUUGAGGUAUGAUACUUUGUGAUUCCAGGAUUCAUCAAAGGGAUACAUGGUAGCAUUCGCUGGUUCAAAAUACGCUGCAAGAUCAGUUCCAAUUAUGGUUGCAGACAAUGAUCACGUCGUGACAAGCUUCACCCUAGUAAUUGAAUAAGCUCAUAUCAGUCUACAUUUUCAUCUUAUUGAAACUUCUACCUCUAUUAUCAUCACAUGUGUUAAUCUCUAUUUUGUGCUAUUUAUCUUCCAGGUUCUUGAGUUUCAGAAAGGCAGGCUUGAGAACUUGUUCUGGAAGAAAGACGGAUGCUCCAAAUGUUCUGGAAAUGCCAAGUUCGUGUGUCUCAACAAAGAAGAAUGCGCGAUUAAGAGACAAAGCUGCAAGAACCAAGGAGGGCAAGUAGAUUGCAGCUUGGGGAUCCAAUUAGCGUUCUCCGGCACGGAUAAGCACUACACCGCGUUGAACUCGUGGUACGAGGUUGCGAAUCUGAAGCAGUACUCGCUUUAUGGCCUAUACUCUAAUCUAAAGGGUUCACUAAGCAGCCAAUUCAAAAACUUCUUCUGAUGAGUUUCUUUCUCCUCAUGUGUGUUUACUUCUUUUGUAAGUUUGUAUUAUUACCCGGUCUCUUGGUUAUGCUAUAUUUUUACUGUAUUUUAUUACAUGGCUUGUAACUUUUUCAUGAAUGAAGAUUUACGCACAGCUUCUAAAAGAUAAUGAUUAAGAGAUCAUUUGGUUCAAAAUGCACAUAUACCUCAGCCAAACACAAGAAACCCAAAAUCACAUAAAGUGCACCAAAAUAAUAGCAACAUAGAUAGAUAUACAAAGGAAAUAUUCUACUGGUUUGAUUAAAAAGGUUUCAAAGAAAGAAUAGAUUUGCAAAUUACGAAACUCACUUCAACGCAAUAGAAGACGCCUUGCCUGAGGAGGAUUUGGUGGUGACCCUUGACCUGAAGUUGGCUGACCUCCACCACCACCGCCACCACCACCUCCGCUGUUCCAUGGUUUAACGACAGCAAGAACCACAACAACUAUGAUAAUGAUGAGAAUGAGAAUAGCGAUACAUGUCCAUUUACGGGUGUUCUUCUGGUAAACCCGAGCGGUUUGCAGCUGCUCAGUUCCACCUCGGAUAAAGGAGCUAGCUCGGCCCACGUGGCUCUCGAUGUCGUCGAUCUGAGCUCCCUGGUGCUCGACCAGCACCGCCAUGUCGAGAAACACUUGGUGAAGCUCCCUGAGAUUCUUCUCAAUGUCCUUAACCGCGUCAUGCCUUUCUUGGAUCUCGUUGAUGGUGUCUAAGACACGUCCUCUUCCUUGUUCUUGUAUUGCUUUCUGCAAGAAUCUCUCACUUUCUCCUGCAAUAAAACAGUUCCCAAUGUUACACACCACUCACCUAAGAGUAUGCCUAGUUUCUGAUCUCAAGCUUCUUUUCAAAUCCAGGUGUAAGCAUAGACAAGCAGAUUUUAACAUAACCAAACCGAAUUGGUUCAGAUUUGGUUUUAAGUUUGGUUCAAUACGACAGUUAAAAAAUCGGUUAUUGGUUGGAUUGGUAAUCAGUUAAUUCGGUUUUUAAAAAGACAAAAUAAAAGCCAAAUAAUAUGGAUUUUAACCAUCUUCAAAAUCGAACUAACCGAAAGAACCAAAAUUAGUCAAGUUUUUCAUCAAUUUAAACCGAAAAUCUAACGGGAACUUUACUUAAUUUUGGCAUAAUUUUCAUAAACCGAAUUAACUGAAUUUAUUUUUCGGUUCAAUUUGGUACAAUUUUCAGCGAAUUAAGCUUAUUUAAAAACCAAAUUAACCGAACCGAACCUGUAGGUCUAGCUAGGCAUCCAAACUCGGAGAGCACUGAACUACACAAUCUCAGGUGAAAACGAUUCAACUAACCUGUAGAAAUCAACCGAUCCAAAGUCCUCUCAUCCGGAUUCUCGCCGGUGACGGUGAAGUACCUCCUCUGCACAGUAUCUCUAUACUCAGACGAGAUCAGCUCCCUCAAGCGGUUGAAACUAUCCAUAGAGUCCUUCAGCUUCUUCCUCAAACCAUUAAGGACGGAAGUCCUUGUACGAUCCGACGAAGAUCCAGGUCCACAGCCAGGGAGGCUCCGAUUAGCCGCGUUGGAGCGAUCGAGCGCCUCGAGUUUCACCUUGAUCAUCUUCGCUUUCUUCAGAGCCACUCCGACGUCAGCGUCCAUCUUGGAGCGGAGAUCCUUGACGGCUUCGGCAUUGUGAAGCGUCUUGCUGUGCUCGUGAGAGGAUCGGAGCGUGUCGUUGAGCCGAUCUAGCUCCUUUAGCUCCUCUUUGACGGAUUCGACGUCUUCGAAGAACUUGUCGAGGUUAACUCCCGCCGGAUGCGUCAUCUGGAUUCCUCCUCCGCCGCCGCCGGCGUCUCCGCUGCUGCUGCGGAAGCGAGAGAAUGAGCUGGAAAACAGAUCGUUCAUCGAGAAUCAAAAAUCUAGAGAGUCUCAGAUCGGAUUCAAUCAACGGAUAGACUUAAUAAGGAAGGAAGAAAGUCGUACUGAUUCAAACCACACGGUUUGGUGAACGACGGAAGAAGGUAGAGAGAGAGAGAGAGAGGAAAAGUCCAAAAUUUAAUUAUUUUCUUAUAAUAUGUUUUUGCGGAAAUGUCAAAAGAGGAGGGAGAAAGUCAAGAAGGAGGACUUGGUGAUUGACUUGGAAGCUUCGUAGUGAUGGCGGAGAAGGAAAGGUGAUAGUGAAAGCGUGUAGCGUGCAAAUAUGGUAAGCAUAUAAAACCGGAGCGAAAAGAUUAAUUGUCAUUGUUGGGCCAGAAGUGAGGCCCAAAUAAUCAGGAAUUCAAAUAGGCCUAGGUUCAUUUAUGUCCUUCAGCGCUUAGAAAUUUAAAAUAUUUAUUUUAUAUAUUAUUAGUUAGAAUCUUCAAAUAUUUGUCCGAGUUUGGUUUUACAUCCUUUCGACGGCAAAGAUACCACCCCACUGGAGACGAUUCAACUGGCUAAAUCUGAGGCGGAAAGCUCACUCAAGUAAUAGAAAAACCACAAGAUGAAGACGCUGAAAACGAGCACCGCGCAACCCCUCUCCCAAGAACCUGCCCGAUAUGCUUGACGGACGCCUCCUGGCACAAAGACGACACUUUGUUCGGUGGAGGUAUGGUCUUGAUGACCGAGGAUGGGACAACGACUUAUGGUUCAUUCGCUAGUAACCAAUUCGAUUCCUUCUGAAUUAAUUAUAUAUGGUGUUUGCCGUCAAAAAAAAUUGAUGGAUCCCUAAAUAAAAUGAGGUAUAAACUUUGUGUGUAUAGUGAUACGCCCUAAAUAUGGAAAGGAUCACUCAGCCGGACUAAGGGAAUAUGAACUCGCCAAAAGGGAGAACUGGUGGAUUCAAUGGUGACACAAAAGGGGCGGAAAGUCUCUUGAUACUAUCAGACUUCAGUUGUUGCUUGAUAUGAUGCACAAGUCCAACAAAAGAAGAGUUUCUAAACGUUGAUUGAUAUGACGCACAAGUCCAAUGAAAUAAAGAAUGUUUACUUGGAAGAAACUCAACAAGAAACAAGAAGUGUUCUACAAAGAACAAAGAGAUAAACUCAUAAAAAAAAAAAAUCAUUGUCUUAUUUCGUGGCUCUUAGCCUUAUUUAUAGGAUUACAAAUUGCAGACAUCCAAAGAAAAAUGUGUUAAAAAUAAAGACAUUGAAUAUAGAAACAAAGACUUGACUAAAUAAAGUCUUUGACUGAAACUUGGGCUGUCUCUUGAUAUAACCACGACCUUGACUUGGUUCAGUGAAGAAUAUACUCCUGUAAUGGGCCAAGACAUGUCUCUUUAAUGCCUGGUCGAAAUCUUUCUCUUUUCCUUUGCCAAUUUUUAUCGGUUUCUCCAUUUGACCCAAACAAGUCCGUUUUUGAAUCUUUUAAAAAACCAUCAAACCCAAGGCUUUCUUGGACAUUUAGAACAUGAAUAAUCACCUUUGGCAUGAUUGAAUUGGUCGUUGAUUCAUCAGAAAGAAGGUUAGCCUUUUCCAGCUUCUCGGAUGGUCUGAAUUCGCGAGAACUAAAGAUCACAUGAUUUGUAAAUGGCAUAACUGUCACAUAUGAACUCCGUUUGAUCUGAUUCUUCUUUGAGGAGCUCCGUAAUUGAGUUGAGAACAUUCUACAAGUGAUUUCAUGCGUAUAAGCCUUGUGAUUUGGAAGAUAUGAGUCAAACAAUGAACAUAUAUCUUUACAACAUCCAAAGAUCAAGCCAUGCAUGUCUGUUUUUUCCGGUGCGCUACCCAAGGGCGCAUCAUAUAGGGUACUAUAUGAAAGUUUCGAUGGAAAAAUAGAUGUGUUCUUCUUUCAAACUCUUUAAACCAAUUCAUAAUACUCUUCUCGCUGCGGUAUGUCACUAUUCUUAACUUCUUGUUUGGACUAAUCGGUAGAUCAAACUAAAAAAGGUUUUUAUUUGACAAUAGUAGCUUAUUUGUUUAGCUAACCACCAAUUCAGCCACUGUAAUAUAGGCUUGGGCGUUUUACCCGGAUCCAAAGACUGGAACCGACCCGAAAAUACAAGUUCGGAUCUGGGUCCAGGUCCAUGCUGAAGUAUCUGUUGGAUCUCUUUUUUUUUUGGAUUCACGGGUCUCGGUUCGGGUCUGUGUUCUACCCAAGACCCGAUCGGGUAUCUGAAGUACCCGAAAUUUAUUGUAUAUAUUAGGUAUAUUUGGGUAUUUGGGUAUAUUUUUGAUAUUUCAGAUAUUUUUUUAAGUUUUGGAUCUGGAUUUUCGGGUAUAAUUUCAGAUUGCAGGUAAAAUUUUAGAUUUUCAAAAAAUAUAAUUCGAGUAUUCGGGUAAAAUUUUGGGUCUGUUUUGAAUUUUCUGGUCUGAUUUUAGGUAGAUCUUCGGCAUUUUUACGAUUCUUUGGGUAUUUAUGGAAUUUUUGGGUAUUUUUUUAGUUUUUGGAUUCAAUUUAGGUAUUUCGGGCCUUAAAUAUCCGAACCGACCCAAACCAAGAAUAUACCCCAAAAUUAAAAGUAUUUUAUGGAUAUUGAAAUUAUAGAUCCGAACCGACCCGGACCCGGUAAAAUCCGACCCAAAACCGACCUGAAAAUUAUAUGUACCUCUACGAAUUCAAAUUUUCAAGAUCCAAAAGACAAGGAUCCGACAAGACCCGAUUCGAUGACCCGGAUGUUCGGCCUACUAUGAUCUACAACUCAUUAGUUAUUGUUUGAAAGUACUUUUUAUAUUUGUUUGUUAGUUGAAAUUGUCAUUAUCUUUUUAGUACUUUAUCAACUUAAAAUAAAACCCACAAAGAACCCUAAUACAACGACGACUAUCGUAAGAUGUUUUAAAAGUAUACUAGAUUUUGACCCGCACUUUAAAAGCGCGAGAUUUGUUAUUAUGUAAAAUUUAAAAGUUAUAAAUAUUUUUUACGGCCAAAUAAAUUUACAGAUGUUUUAUUAAUUAUGGUCUAAAACAAACAAAUAAUAGUUUGUUAAAAUAACUGAAAUGAGCUAAUUAUAUGAGUUGUCGAUUUUAUAAUAAUUCUUAACGAUAUGUGUUAUUAAUUAUGAAUUAUCCCUCAGAUACCUAUAUUGAACAUAAAAGUAUUAAUAUUCCACGUUAGUUAAUAUAUAUCUAUAUUAUACUUCUAAAUUCUAAUAAUAUUUCAUUUUAUAGUACCUAAUUUAAAAUUGUAGUUACAUGUCAAAUUUUAAAAUGCAGAACAAUUUGAGUUUAGGUUGAUUUGGUGAUGUCUACAUUUUUACGCAAGUUUCAGAAUUGUAGGCGAUGACCAUAAAUUCAAUAUAUUGAGAAUAUUCUUGAGCACAAAAUAAGGAAGUAAAAUUUUUCUUGUUAAAUAAGUUUAAGUCUUUCUAAAAAUAUGGUACAUCUUAUACAAUAAAGUAGACAAUAGUCUCUCCUUAGAGUGCCACAUCAUAAGGUUGAAGGGUGCAAAUUAGGACAGGUGUUUUCUCCAAUUUCUUCAUCUCACCAAAAUUUUCGUACCAAAUCUAUGGGACAGUUACUGGGUCUAAUGUUUGAAUGUUUUGUAUAGUUAGGCCCAUAUGUAUUUAGGGUUACAUUAUUAUCCUGCUUAAGUUUACAAAGCAUCGACGUUUUCACCAUACAGCUAGAAUUCCGAUCGACACUAUGUAACAUCUGCCAUUUACAUUUUUUUGGUGUUUAAAUCCUAGCAUUUAUGUCACUUAUACCACCCUCCCACUCUCUGGCUUUUAAUGGAGCUUAUCAUAUUCUAAGAUAACCGCUGGAAGCUCCAUCUAUAAAUGUGUUUGCUCCCGACGAUGAACAGCAUUAAAUCUGCAAAAACUAAAAGCACGAUCCCUGCAAAGCAUCAACUCAACAAUGGAGAAAUCCUCCAUCAUGCUCGCCGAUUUGAAAGCUUACCGGUUCUGGCGGUGGUGAGAUUCAACACCGGCACAUUCCUCACACCACCGCGACAAGAGCAAUUCAUAAGCUGCAUCUGGUAUUUGGUUGUACUUGUUUCCUUCAUCAUUUGUCGGUUAAGUGAAUUAUAGCUUGAGGAGUAGCAAAGAUGUUGCAAGUCUAAAAAGUGAAAUACAUUCUGCUAGAAUGUUUGUAAUAGAAUCAAUAAUUUUGACUCUUCAGGAUGUUUUUUUGUUUGUUUGUUUCUUAAACAGGGAACUGCAGCGGAGGAUCGUUCCAAACAGAAGCUGAUCUCACAUAACGAUUCAUCAGGUUUUGUUUGUUUGGUCUCUUUUUAGAUUGUUUAGUCGAGGAUAGGUUUGCUAACGUGAUUUUAUUGCAUCUAUCAUCCUAUUUUCUCUUAUAGAUACAAUGUUUUUGUGUGUGUCUUCUUUCAGGUUGCAGAGUUUUAGGUCCCCAUCAGUGUUAAAACAACACAACAAAACAAGUUUAGCAAGUUCUAUGUUAGGUGACCGACUCCACCGUCACCAUCCUGUUUCAAUGAGAUGACUAACUUUGUUUGAAAUAACUGUUCUUAGUGUUCAUUUUCUUCUUCUUAUUUUGAUUUAAGGGAACUUCAGUAAUCAUGAGGAAGAUGAUAGAGACGGCUUUUCCUUUAUUCUUUUUAGACUGAGAAUGCAUAGAAGAAGAAAAUGCAACCAUUGGCACAAAAGAAACUGGACUUUGAAAAGUUAUGUGCGGCUGGGGUCAGCGUUUACCAACUGGAGGCUCUUGAAGAAUGGGAACAGAUUGCAACUUCAGCAUUUGAGAACUUCGAGCAAGAAGGGCAUAGAAUCAUAUCCGUCCAAGAACUAGCCGGGGUAUGGUCCUAUAUUCAACCUUGUAUGUGAUUGAGUAAGCAUCAUCUAUUUUGUAAGAUCUAAAACAUAUUUAAUGAUUGGGGCGUGGUAUAAAGCAGGAGAUGACUCUGGCACCAAAUGCAUAUCCUCUGCUCAAGGAUUGGAUCUGGAGUUUGGAUGGAAAGCUUAGUUUCUUGGGCUACGCUAAGUUCUUGCAUGGUGUGAUCGUACGAAGCUCGAGCUCAAGACCUAGGUGACACAUCGGCAUGGGAAAAUUCUUCUACGUGUGAGUCAAUUCUUGAUAAGUAUCGAAAACGACUUAGUCGUCAUCAAGAUAUUGGGUUUAAAUGUACAACAUAUACUGGAAGAAAAAAAAAUAUAUAUAAUGGAAAUGGAAGCUAGGUGCGUCAUUUGUAAAUAAUUCUUUGAGCAUUUUGUCUUCAGAAGAACCAAACCCCUAAAAGAAAAAGAAACAAACAGGAAAAAUAUAUCAUACAUGAGAUGACUAACUUUGUUUGAAAUAACUGUUAGAUUUAUUAUUAUAAAUAUGCAAAAACUCUUUCAGUCUCCACUACUGCACUGUAACAAAAAAACGAUUCAAGGAAACAAUAGUGGCUCAUAUAUAAUUGUGGCUUAAAGCAAAAUAAAAAACUGUGGUCUUAAAUAUUUUGAUAAAAAUUUAGAAUUCCAUGUAAUUAUAGUUCUACUAUUAUUAUAUUUUACUUUAGAAAAACUCAAAAUAUUUUUAAAUUUUUGCUUUCUUUUUUGGUCAUUUUUUUGAAAUAUGUUUAGAACUAUUUAUGUCAUAUUUUUUGUGGUUAACCAAAUAAAUAAAAUAGUAAAAUGUCACUAUCAAUAGUAUGUAAUAAACAAUUAUAAUAAAUUAAAAGAUAAAAACCAAUUAAAAAAAGAUAAAUUGUUGAUCUAAGUUUUUUUUUAAAAGUGAGACACUCAAGGUUUCCAUAAUACUACCCUAGAAUAACUUUGAAACUGUAGAUAAUUAAAUAAGCCCAAUGCUUUAGAUGCUUUGAAGAAGGACCGAGUAUAUAGGGAAAAAAAAUUGUGGUCUUAAUUAUUUUGAUAAAAAUUUAGAAUUCCAUGUAAUUAGAGGUGAGCGUUCGAGUACCCAUUCAGAUUCGGUUCGGAUCUAUUCGGGUUUCGGGUGUUCGGGUUCAAAGAUUUCAACCCCAUUCAGAUAUUUCUAAAUUUCGGUUCGAGUUCGUUUCGGAUCUUCGCGGGUUCGGUUCAGGUUCGGAUAAUCCAUUUAAAUUAUUUUAUAAAAUUUUAAAUUUAUUAUAUACUUAAAAUUUCUUAAAAUCUAUAAACAAAAUUAUAUAUUACAUAUAAAUUUGAAUAUAUGUCAAAAUACAUAAAAUUAACAUAUAAAUUGGUUUGAUUUGAAUAUUUGGAUAGUCUUUCAAGUAUUUGUAGUGUUUUGAAUAUAUUUUAGCUAUUUUACACAUUUAAUUUUGAUUAUUUGUGUAUAUUUUCAAGUAUUUAGGAAAACUUAAAAGUAUUUUAAAUAUUUUGGAUGUCUUUAAUACAUAUUAAAUCUAAAGAUAAGUAACAUAUUUAGGUAUUUAAAUCUAUUUCGGAUACAUUCGGGUACCCAAAAUACUUUGGACCGGAUUGGGUUCGGUUUCGGUUCUUUAAAUAUCAAAAUUUUGAAUCCGUUCGGAUAUUUAAUCAAUUUCGGUUCAAGUUCGAUAUUACUUUUUUGGAUCGGGUUCGGUUCAAUUUUCCGGAUCCAGGUUUUUUGUCCAGUUCUACAUGUAAUUAUAGUUCUACUAUUGUUAUAUUUUGUUUAGAAAAACUCAAAAUAAACUUUUAAAAUUUUGCUUUCUUUUUUUGGUCAAAUUUUUCAAAUAUGCUUAGAACUAUUUAUGUCAUGCUUUUUUUUGUGGUUAACAAAAUAAAAUAAAAUUGUAAAAUGUCACUAUCAAUAGUAUGUAAUAAACAAUUAGAUCAAAUUAAAAAGAUAAAAACCAAUUAAAGAAAAGAUUAAUUGUUGAUCUAAGUUUUUUUUUUUUUAAAGUGAGACACUCAAGAUUUCUAUAAUACUACACUAGAAUAACUUUGGAACUGUAGAUAAUUAAAUAAGCCCAAUGCUUUAGAUGCCUUGAAGAAAGACCGAGCAUGUAUGGAACCCUCACCUGUCUUGUCAAAUCCACUCCGUCUGUAAAAAAAAAAACCAACAACAACCUAUUGGUGGACUAUCUAUUAGCAUCAGUAUCUAUUUGCAUGGACACGGAAACUACAUGAAAUCAAUGUCGAAAGACAUCAAUAAAGUCAAUGCACUGAGCGUAUGUGAAAAUCCUCCAUUGUUGCUUAACAACACUCGCAAGGACAUAUGCCACUGUAACGUAUCUCCCCCAACAAAAUAAAAGAAAAAUGCGACAAUCUUACUAUUACAAACAAAUAAAAUAGAUUAUAUAUUUCAUAUAAAACCUACUCUACAAAAUUUUACAUUUUAUGCUUCAACUAUUAGUCAUUCAAUUUGUGUAUUCAAAAAUUAUAAACAUUAUUUCACUGCUUUGAAAUAAAUUUAUACACCUCGCGUAUGUCAAUAAAAUAGCAAUCCCUCAUAUACAGAACAUACAUCCAAUUGAUAAAUGUAAAGCUGAUCUUCAACAUCGUUGAGACUUCCAUAAUAACGGCUCCACAACUCAAACAAAUAGCUACAACAUCAAUUUAUUUGUUCAAAAAAAUUCUUUACUGAUAUUUUACGCUAAGAAAAACAUCAGGCAAUUUCUAUUCAGGGACGGUCUAUAUUUUUUUCAACAGAGAUCACUAAGAUAUUUUGCUUAUAAUUUAGUAGGCUGAAAAAGAUUUCUUACCAUUAUUAUAUAUAUUUUGUCAUCCUUAGCAUUGUAAUAUAGAACCACUAAAUAUUCAAUCGAUAUACAAUUUUAAUGAAAUAUUAACAGCGUCAUAACUCUUAACAAGUGAUGGACAACAUAGAGAAAGAGAGUGUCACUUAAUACUUCUUAAAUCUGUACAAAUAUUUUUUUGUUCAUAGAAAGUAGAAAUUUCGAAAAAUCACUACCUUUAUUGGUAAAGUUUCCAUUUAACAUAAGAUUUGAUCACUCAUGUGUCUGCGACUUGUCUUAAGUGAGUCUGAACAUUGCUUCAACACUACUACUACUAAAAAGAAUAAAUGACCACAAUUUGAAUUCGACCACCAAUUUAGGAUCCGAAUGUUUACAACCACCCGUUCCGCACCGCAGUUAACAAUAACAAAAAAUCUCUACAUAUAUCAUAUAUCUAUACGUUUUUAUAACUGUUAGAACCGCACCGCAGUUGAACCGCUUGUCCCGCACCGCUGAAACCGCAGUUACUAUUCGGAGCCUUAAUUAUCUAAUACCAAACGUCCAUCCGUAGAUUCACAAAAUUAACACUUAUAUUUUUUUCUUACAAAUAUCAACCAUUAUACUACACAAUUAACAAAUAUCCCGCGCGUAGCACAGGCAAGCCACUAGUAAUAUAUAAUUUUGGAUUAUUAAAUAUUGCUUAAAUGUUAUUGGAUAACAAAAUACAUGACUUUUGAUUGGAUGGAAAUACGGCCGGCAAAUUAAUUUUUAAAAAAAUCUAAAAAAGUAAUAAAUUGCCAUUGUAAAUAAUUCUAAAACUAAGGGCAGAAGAAUCCUAGGAGGGAUUUUGCUUUAAUAGUAGGGGAAAUUACAUGUUUACCAAUUUCAUGCUACAACUUUUCAGUUUUACAAUCACUAAAGGGACAAUUAUGACCUUGUUCUUUAUAUAUACUAGGAAACAAAUCCGCGCAUUCGCGCGGACAGUCAAAAUCCUUUACUAAAAACUAAAUUAUUUAAUAUUCAUAAAUUGUAUAUAUUUAAUAAUUAUAUAUAUAAUACUUUUUUAUUUUUUCAUUUAAAUACUGAAUAUAUUAGCUUAAAAUAAAAAAUUCAACAACAUAAGGAAAAGGAUGUAAAAUGUAUAUAACAAAUUAAAUAUAAAUUGACUUUUGAAUUUAUAGAACAAUAGAUAUACAUUUUUAUUAGUAAUAUCGGUUGAGACAAUGGUAAAGACUGGCUAGACAAGAAGUUCAUCUUCAGUAUUAGGAAUAUCAACCUUUUGUUUAAUCUUUGCGGAUUCUUUAAUCUACGGGACAGCUGUCUCAACACAAAUUUUUUUUUUGAUUCUGUAAUGUAGAAAUUAAAAUUAAUUCCUCUCUUGCGUGUUUACUAUUUCACUGCCAAGGCAUUUAUCGGAGUCAAUCGUAUUCUAUAAAUAUGAUAUUUAUCUAGUAUGAUCAACUGGAUGAAGCAGAGGACAUAUAGUCAUGGACUAAAGCAAGCUAUGAAAAGUAACUGCUUACAGACUACCAAGAUAUAUGAUAUAUGAGAUCGAUGAUAUCGAUGAAGUUUUUUUUUUUUUUUCAAACUUACAACUUUAUUAUAUCGAUGAAGUUUAUUUUCAAAUCUUUCUUUUAAAAGUUUGGGAGCCCUUCAUCUCAACAAGUAUUUUAUAGAGGACUCAGUUUCAGGUCUUGACAUUGGCAUAACAAAAAGGCAUCCUUGUCGCAGCAAAGCCCAUAUACAGUGAUAAAAUAGUAGAUUCACUUUGUAUUUUUCUUACCUAUAAUCGGUAUUUUUAGCAUGUGCAAUCAUCUAAUAAAUGCUACUUGGGUGUCAUCCUUGUCUUGUUGUGCAGUUUCCUAAUGUUCCUCGCCAAGGAUUUGAUUCAGAGUAUAAUUCUUACCAAUAAAUGUAAAUCUCUUAAUUUAGACUUUGAUCUCUAGGCAUUUUCUUGAAUUAGAUGGGGUAUGCCCUUUUUUUUUCUUGACCAAACCAUAUUUUCAUUACUACUUUAAAUCCAAGGUUUAAGGAGCAUACAAAGCUGAUUUAGCAAAAGAAUCAACUUCAAAAAAUCUUUUCACAAAAAUAAACCACUUAAAUAAUACACCAGUUGAAAUACAUAUAAUGUUUUUAAUGUACAUAAAAAUAAAGUAAUAGUUUUAAAUUAAAGAAUUUGAAAAUGUGUCAAAAGGACAAAGGAAAUAUCAUAUGUUGUUUUGGUAACUUAAAACAAAAAGUUCUUUGUGAUUAUACUAACAAUUAAUUAAAUCUAACGCAUGUAACAAAAAUGAGGAUAGUUUAACAUCUCAAUUUAAAAAUACCAUAAAUGAAACAAUUGUUUUAACUUUUGUCAAAUAUUAGGUUACACAAAUCUCUUUUUAUGAUAAGUAAAGUUUAUGUUUUAUCAAAACUAAGAUACAUAAAUAUAAAAAGAAAUUCUAAUGUUUGUAUGUGAUUCUUCAAAAGUCUUCUAUGAUCAUUUAGAUCUUAAAGUAGUUACAAUGGUUAUUUUUAAAAAAUUGUAAUGAUUUUUAUAAAUAGUUAUAAAUCUUCAUCUAAGCAAUUGCAAUGAUUCAUUUAGAUGAUUUUAUCCAUUAAAUCUGCAACAGAACAUUCUAUGUUCUCAGCCUUUUGUUUUGCUUAAAUAUGAUGAUUUUAUUCAAGACCGUUGGAAUUUGAAUAAUAUGGUACUGAAUAAUGUUUAUAUAUCUUUACUUAUCACAUAAUUUGUAUACUAUGGUACUGUAUAUUAGCGACAAUUGUUUGAAAGUAAGAUUCAUAUUUUUCAAUAGCUUUAAUUAAACUAUCUUGAAAAUUUUAUUAUUUUCAAAAUUUUAAGAUAUCUUGUUUGAAAGUAAGAUUCAUAUUUUUCAAUAGCUUUAAACUAUCUUGAAAAUUUUAUUAUUUUCAAAAUUUUAAGAUAUAAUGAAAUUUUUUAUCAAAAUUUUGAUUUGAGAGCGUUUUGAAAAUUGAAGUUAGGAGAAAAUGUUGUACAAAUUGUAAUAUAUAGAGUUGAAAAAUAUUAGUUUAUAAACUCUUCAAGAAAAAAGCAGUUAUAAAAGAAAGAAAAAUAUAAUUUAUAGCCAAAAAAAACAUUAUCUUCAAUAAAAUUAGUGAAGUAAGUUUUAACUUUUUUAAUUUUUGAAAGUAAGUUUUGAUAAAGAGUCACAUUUGUAAAAACCAUUUGCUGGGAUUCUUUGAUUGUGUUUUUUUUUAACACUUAGAAAAACUGAGAAACAGACAACAAGAUACCAGCAGGUACCGUAGAGAUCUAAAGAGAAACAUGAAAGAACUAAGCCAAAAGAAACAAGAUGGCAAUUAAAGGUGCCACUGGCACAUAUCCCCUGAGCCAGCCAAUGGAAUAGAAAAUUAGACACCUGCCUCCUGUUGGAUAGCUUGAUGAAGCCAGCAAGGUCCACCAGCGGGUGACAUAAGAUUGCGUACAGAAGUAUGAGACCACACUAUCUGCAAUCGCUGUUGCUACAUUAUUUUUAUGGUCAAGCACGUGGAAUCAGACCAUUCAUCAAAACGGUGUGUCGGUGCAGCAACUCAAGGAUUUUUGUAGAAAGUGAUAAGAGUUCAGGAUAGCUGUAUGGAUCCAGAAGUGACUGUCUCACCUCCGCAGAAGAAACUUCAAACAGAAUUUUUCGUUGCUUCAGAUAAUCAGGUUGCCCAUCUCUUCCACAGCCCACAACAUAGCCUUUAAGUUUGACUCCUGUUUAGAUAGGGGAGAACAGAAAGCACGGCGGCUAUGGUCAAGCGGACGGCACUGACUAUCUCUUGUAACCCAGCUAGCACCCCUCAGAGGUCCAGAGCUAUCCCAAGCCAUGCCAACAUUGCAUUUGAUAAAACAAGGGGAGACUUUUCCCAAGAGUUGUGUGAAGACGGCUUGUUUCCAAAGCCGCAGCCUGAUUAUUCUCAUUGUAGUUAACCAUAUACCAAAUAUCUCCCUCUUCCAGCGACUUAGAGAUGCAUGAAGCAGAGGAGAUUCGGCUUUUCUCAAACACCAAAGCAUUUCUCCCUUUCCAAAGGUUCCAGAGUAUCCAAGGGAAGGACUUAAUAUUACCAUAAUCUGUCCUCUGUUUUUUUUUUGUGCUUGCUACCAGAUAGGAAGGUUCAGAAAGAUAGAUGACUGCGAAAAACCAGAGGGAGGAGGCUCUAUUUGUUCCAGACGCCGGGCUUCCACUGCUGUAGGACAGUGAACAGGACAUGAAAAAUCGUUUCCAAGGCUUGACAACACGCAUGACAAAUUGUGUUUGACCAUUCAUAAUUCAAAAGCACAUAAUAUUCACUAAUACACAGGUACAAUAUAAAAAGUAGAGUUAUUAUAUUUAUAUUUGUAGUUUACUAAUUUAUAACAGUAUAAAUGUUUUUCCUAGAAACUUACUGAUGAAGUCUCCCACUUCUUUUUCAAGUCCUCACCACUUAAACGCACGCACAGGCACAGAUGAAUGGUGCACUUGAGGAUGCUGUUGAGUCUGUGAUAGUCUAUAGUAAUUGUUCUGGUCCUCCUAACAAUCCCUCAUUUACAAAUUCUUAGCGAUCUAGACCACCUUUUGAAACCUUAAUUAAAAAUGAUGUAUGCAGAAUGUAACAGACAUCAUACAUAUGACGUUACGUAAUCCCAUCUUAACAAGCCUGAAUAUAAAAAUUUUAUAUAAAAGGUAUUAAUUUCCUAAACCAUUAGAUGAUCAGCGCACUGUCUGUACGGUGAUGCUGGAUCUGCUUUACAAUCAAAAAAAUCUGAAUCGCACUGCAGUGUAUAAAUAUUCAAUAGACAUCAUGAUUGAGUUCUUCUGAAUCGUGGAUCCUACACAGAUUAAUCAAACAAUGAAUGGGAAGCGUCUGAAAUCAUCAGAAAAGGAAAAAAGGAGAAAGGAAAAAUGAACUAAAGCGGAAAAAAUUACACUGGAUUUGGAUGCGGAGGAGAGAGAGAGAUAAGAAGCAUAGAAAACUUGAAACAAAUCUGCAACUCGAUACAAUCUCUUCAAUAUAUAAACUUCUGAACAGUUACAAGAAAAUGAUGACGGUUCCACAGAAGAUCUAGAAGAUCUGAGUGUGAAAAGAUACAACCUUUAAGGAAAAAACAGAUGAUCUGUUUAAGAGACGCCUGUGAGGAGGUAUGAUGAAGCCGUCGAUUGCUAUAGUAAAUCUAGUACGUCAUUCUUUUGUUUCUAAACAAAACCUUAACCAUUAAAUUAUAUCACAGACACGAUUCUCACCAUUAGAUUUUGAUUUUUUUUCCUAUAAUAAAUUGAUGAUGUCAUCAGUUAGAUAAAAAAGAUUUGCUAUUAUAUAUAGAUAAUAAAUAUAUACUAUUUCUAAAUUCAAACCCUAAACCCUAAAACUCAAUUCUAAACCCUAAAUCAUCAAUCAUAAACCAUAUUUUAUUUUGAAAUAUGAACCCUAAACCCUAAACCAUCAACACUAAACCAUAAAUUUUCAACACUAAAACCUAAACCCUAAAAAGUAAACUCUAAACCCUAAAAAGAAAACUCUAAACCCUAAACCCUAAAAUUCAACCCUAAACCCUAAACCAUCAACACUAAACCAUAAAUUUUCAACACUAAAACCUAAACCCUAAAAAGUAAACUCUAAACCCUAAAAAGAAAACUCUAAACCCUAAACCCUAAAAAAUUGCCCCUAAACCCUAAAACAUCUAACUCUAAACCCUAAACCUUCAACUUAAAACCUAAACCCUAAAUCCUAAACCCUAAACCCUAAACCCUAAACCCUAAAACCGUAGAGUUGAUGUUUUAGGGUUUAGAUUUGAAGGUUUAGGGGUUUAGGGUUUACAGUUUACAUUUAGGGUUUAGAGUUGAUUUUUAAGGUUUAGAUUUGAAGGUUUAGGGCUUAGGGUUCAAAUUUCAGUUUAGAUUUGAAGGUUUAGGGUUUAAAGUUAAUGUUUCGGGGUUUAGGGUUUAGAGUUGAUGUUUCAUGGUUUAGAGUUUAGAGUUGAUGAUUUAGGGUUUAAAGUUGAUGUUUUAAGUUUAGAUUUAGGGUCUAGGGUUUACGUUUAGGGUUUAGGGUUUAGGGUUUAGGGUUGAUGUUUUAAGUUAAAUUAGUUAACAAUAUGUUUUCUUUUUGUCAAAGUUAAUCAAAAAGUUAUAAAUGUCUUUUACCCUUCAUUGAAGAUGAAAAGUGUUACUUUGAAAAUAGUAUUUUUGCAAUUUCCCUAAAUAUAUAUUAGGAAAAAUUACAUGUUUACCACUUUCAUGCUACUAUUUUUCAUUUUUACCACCACUAAAGAGACAUUUUCAAAAAUAUGCCAUUAUACUUUAUAUAUAUAAUAAAUAAAAAUUUAAAUAAAUAAAAAUCAAAAAAAUAAAAAAUAAUUUUUAAAUUUUUUUUCGAAUUAUACUAUUUCGAAAUUCAAACCCUGAACCCUACAACUCAACUCUAAACCCUAAACCACCUAUCAUAAACUCUAUUUUUUUGAAAUACAAACCCUAAACCAACUCUAAACCCUAAACCCUAAACCUUCAACUCUAAACCCUAAAACAUCAACUAUAAACCCUAACCUUCAACUCUAAACCUUAAACCAUCAACACUCUAAAAUAUCAACACUAAACCCUAAACCUUAAAAAGUAAACUCUAAACCCUAAACUCUAAAAAAUUAACCCUAAACCCCGAAACAUCAACUCUAAACCCUAAACCCUAAAAUGUAAACUCUAAACCCUAAACCCUUAAAAAUUAACCCUAAACCCUGAAACAUCAACUCUAAACCAUAAACCUUCAACUAUAAACCUUAAAACAUCAACUAUAAACCCUAAACCCUAAACUUCAACUCUAAACCCUAAACUAUCAACUCUAAACCCUAAACCCUAAAAAGUAAACUUUAAACCCUAAAAAAUUAACCCUAAACCCUGAAACAUCAACUCUAAACCCUAAACCUUCAACUCUAAACCAUAAACCUUAAAUCCUAAACCCUAAAACCCUAGAGGUGAUGUUUUAGGGUUUAGAGUUGAAGGUUUAGGGUUUCAGGGUUUAGGGUUUACAUUUAGGGAUUAGAGUUGAUGUUUUAGGGUUUAGAUUUGAAGGUUUAGGGUUUAAGGGUUUAGGGUUUGAAUUUCAGAAAAAUAUCGGGUUUAAGGUUAAGGGUUUAUGUUUAAGGUUUAUGUUUAGGGCUUAGAGUUGAUGUUUUAGGGUUUAGAUUUGAUGGUUUAGAGUUUAGGGUUUAGAGUUGAUGUUUUGGGGUUUAGGGUUUAGAGUUGAUGUUUCAUGAUUUAGGGUGUAGAGUUGAUAAUUUUGGUUUUAAAGUUGAUGUUUUAAGUUUAGGGUUUACGGGUUUAGAGUUGAUGUUUUAGGGUUUAGAUUUGAAGAUUUAGGGUUUAGAGUUUAGAAUUGAUGUUUCGGAGUUUAGGGUUUAGAGUUGAUAUUUCAUGGCUUAGGAUUUAGAGAUUAGAGUUGAUGUUUCAUGGUUUAGAUUAGUUAACCAUAUGUUUUUUUUGUCAAAGUUAAUCAAAAAGGUUAUAAUUGUCUUUUAUCCUUCAUUAAAAUUGAAGGUAAAAAUGAUUAGUGUAAACAUGAAAAGUGGUACUUUGAAAAUGAUAUUUUUGGCAAUUUCCCUAUAUAUUAAGACAAAUAAUUUAACUACAAUUUGGUCGAUAGUGAAAGAAGCAUUAAAAAAAAGAAUAUUUUAACUUCCAAAAAAUUAGAUAUUUCAGUUGUGGUAAAUACUCAAUUAUAAGGUGCUCACGUCAAUUUGCAUCUGUAUGUGUAUGUAAAACUAUAUAAAGAUGGUUGAUAAAUAUAUGAGAAAAUUACAUGUUUACCACUUUCAUGCUACUACUUUUCAUUUUUACCAUUAAAUGAACAUUUUCAAAAAUAUCUUCUUCAUUAAGUGGCAAAAGACUUUUAUGUCUCUUGUUCUUUAUAUAUAUAAUAAAUAAAUAUUCAAAUAAAUAAAAAUAUAAAAAAAUAAAAAAUAUUUUUUUAAAAUUUUUUUUAGAAUUAUACUAUUUCGAAAUUCAAACCUUAAACCCUAAACCAUCAAUCAUAAACUUUUUUUUUUUGAAAUAUGAACCCUAAACCCUNNNNNNNNNNNNNNNNNNNNNNNNNNNNNNNNNNNNNNNNNNNNNNNNNNNNNNNNNNNNNNNNNNNNNNNNNNNNNNNNNNNNNNNNNNNNNNNNNNNNNNNNNNNNNNNNNNNNNNNNNNNNNNNNNNNNNNNNNNNNNNNNNNNNNNNNNNNNNNNNNNNNNNNNNNNNNNNNNNNNNNNNNNNNNNNNNNNNNNNNNNNNNNNNNNNNNNNNNNNNNNNNNNNNNNNNNNNNNNNNNNNNNNNNNNNNNNNNNNNNNNNNNNNNNNNNNNNNNNNNNNNNNNNNNNNNNNNNNNNNNNNNNNNNNNNNNNNNCAACCAUAAUACAUAAUAACUCAAACUUAAAAUAAAAACAAAAAAAAACUAAAUUUAAUGCAUGAUUGAUGAUAUGUUUGAGUUAUCCAUGAGUUAGAAGCUUAACUCAAACUAAAUCAAUGUUACCACAUGUUAUAGAAUACACCGAAUGAAUAUAUUAUUAAGUAUGUGAAAUUUAUUUAUACAUCAGUACAUGUAGGGUUAUUAACAAUACUAAGUAAUUGCAAAGAGAUCCUUUGAGUAUAUAUUAUUUACUUAACAUGCCCCCUCAAGAUGGUGGUGUUGUGGUAACACCAAUCUUGGACCUUGAAGACUGAAAAGGAGCUCGUGCGAGUGGCUUAGUCAGACCAUCAGUGAGCUAAUCAUGUGUAGAGACGUGUUGCACACGUAGACGGUGAUUCUGUAUCUGGCCGCGGACAAAGUGAUAAUCAAGGGCUAUAUGUUUCAUCCUAGAGUGGAAAACUGGAUUGGCGCAAAGAUAGGUGGCGCCAAGGUUGUCACAGUACGCGGUUUGAGUUGCAGUAACAGGCACGCCAAGCUCAAGAAGAAGAGAGACUACCCAGCUAAGCUCGGAUGCAGUGUUCGCAACUGCGCGAUAUUCCGCUUCUGUUGAGGAGCGAGUCACGCCUUUUUGCUUCUUUGUUGACCAUGAAACAGGCUGAGAACCCAAGAAGAUGAGAUAUGCAUUUGUUGAUACGUAAUCAUCGGAGUCUCCAGCCCAGUCCACGCCAGAAUAGGCAUGAAGAGUUGAUGUUUGCUGUUUACACAACAUUAUUCCAUGAUCAAGAGUACCAUAGAGAUAGCGAAGGACUUGUUUAACUGCUUGCCAGUGAUCUGAAGUAGGACAGUGCAUAUACUGUGAGAGUUUAUUGACAGCGUAUGACACACCAGGGCGUGUUAGAGCAAGGUACAGGAGGCUACCGACGAUCCUGCGAUAGGGCUGCGGAUCAGCUAGUGGCGAACCAGAGUUGAGUGUGAGCUUUGAAUGAGUAGGAAGCAGAGUUGCAACCGGCUUAGGAUGUAGCAUGUCCGCUUUCUCAAGAAGAUCGGUAAUGUACUUCCUUUGUUUGAGAUGUAAGCCUUGUGAUGUACGAACAACUUCAAUGCCUAGAAAAUAACUCAGGUUGCCCAUAUCCUUGAUAGAGAAUCAAGUAGCAAGAGAGGAGUUGACUUGUUGAACCAGGUUCGAAUCACUGCCAGUGACUAAGAUGUCAUCAACGUAUACCAAGACAUAGACAAACUUCGCUUGUUGCUUGUAGAUAAACAGUGAUGUGUCCGCCAAAGAGUUAUGAAAUCCAGACUGAAUCAGAUAGGACUUAAGCUCAGAGUACCAAGCACGCAAUGCUUGUUUUAAACCAUAGAGUGCCUUGCAAAGCCGGCAAACAUGAUUGGGUUGAUCCUUAUCAGUGAAGCCCGGAGGUUGUGACAUGAAGACUUCUUCAUUGAGAUGCCCUUGGAGAAAAGCCGUGUGUUGACAUCUAUCUGUCUAACCGGCCAUUCAUUGUUAACCGCCAAGCCUAGAACAAUCCUGAUCGUUGUAGAUUUAAUGACUGGACUAAAGAUGUCCUCAUAAUCAACGCCUUGUUGCUGAUGAUAUCCUCUAGCAACAAUACGAGCUUUGUAGCGAUCGAUGGUUCCAUCAGAGUUAUACUUGAUAGUAAAUACCCAGCGACAGCCAACCACAUUCAUAGUUUUAGUAACCUCAACCAAAUCCCAAGUCGAGUGCUCAGAAGUAGAAUUGAAUUCUUUGGACAUUACAUCACGCCAGUGUUUAUGUUUCAUGGCCUAUUGCCAAGUAGAUGGAAUCCAGUGGGGAUCGGCCUGCAAGCUUGCAGUAAGGUUGUAUCGAGCAACUGGUUUGACAAUGUUGUUCUUGGAACGUGUGGUCAUUUGAUGCCGAGGCUCUGCAUGCUGUGGUUGUGUAGAAGCAGGUUGAGUAGCAACCAGCGGUUCAGAGGGCACUGGCAGAGACGUAGUGGUUGGAGCAGCAGAUGAGGACGAUGAAGCUUUUGUAGUCAUUGUGGUCUGUUGAUGUUGCUGUGUUGGUGAGGAAUCUCUGCUCGGUGAUCCAGCGGUCGCGGUCGCAGAAGGAGAUUGCAUAAGUGGUGGCGUGUAGGGUAUAACAGUUACGGGUUGUGAGGCAGAAGGAUGAGGAGGCUCAGAAGAUUCAGUAGUUGCUGGAGUGGUUAACGUGGGGAAGGGAUACUCUGUUUCAUUGAAGCGUACAUGAAGAGACGUAUAUAUCAUCGUCUCCAAAGAAUGUAAACAAAUAACAGAUAGAGAUCACGUACCUGACCCAUACAGUGGGCAAUAUCGAGAUACUCAUCUCGGUUAGUCAGGUCCUUGAGCGCUGGAAGGGGACAUCCCACGCUCUUCAGGUGCCUCAUUAUCGCAGCUAGGCCCCAAGAGUCAUCCAGGAUCGACCCAGGCUUCGAAUGGGUAAAGCUCCACCCAACAGUCCCUCCUCUAGAGGACGAGGAAGAAGAACGGAUGGAAGCUCCGCCCUGAUCGGUCCUGGGCCUCUUGUGUCUCGACGGCUCGAUCUCAGAGGUACCCUUCGGAGCCUGGUAGUCAGCCUCCGGCACCUGGACCUCAGGGAGAGGAGCAGCAUCCUGAGCUACAACCUCAGUUGGAGUAGUCUCGACAACAGGUUUGGAUCCUCCGUCGUCCAAAACUUCCUUCAUUGAGAUAAGGAACGAUCCUCCUUGGUUCCUGUCGCUUCCACGAGAAGCACUGGCAGCUUUAGAGGGGUUACCCCUAGAACGGAAUGACGGUCGCAGAGUCAUGUCACCUGGCUGAGACUUUUCAGUUCCCGAAGCACUAGCACCAGUUGAGAUCGAUACAACCGAAUCGCCUGCCGAAACUGGAACAAUGGAAAUCCUUAAGUUUAAAAACUUCAAAGCGAUAAAAUCAUUGAAAAGGUUCGAACAAGAACUUACUCUCAAGGUUCUCAGUAGGAAUGGGAUCUUGGAAAGAGGCGUUGUAGGUAUCUGGGAAUCUGGCUGCACUUAUUCGAGAAGUGGUGUAGGCCACCCAGGUACAGGGACUCUGUUGCAACUUGCGGUAUAGAGCCCUGGUGAGCUUGGUAGAGAGCUUCGGGGGAUCUUCGAUUUCUGCAAGUAAAUCAGAGCAAAAGGAUAGGAUCAUACAUUGAUACAUUUAGAUGCGAUUACUGCGGGUCAAAUCUAUUCCUUAAUGUCGGUGUUUACUAAUCAAAUGAUAGAAAACAUAGAACUUAGGAGUUGACAUGUCCAUUAGCCAUCAACAGAAACAUGUGCACUUCACCAAAAUUUCUUAAUACAACCAAAUAAAUCAUAUGACGACCCCCAUGAUCUCGCCUUCUCUCAUCUAGCUAUAUAUAUUCCAUAAAUUACGUAUGUAAGCACGUACACACAUCCAACAGUAUCUGAAUAGAUUAGUGCUGUUGGCCAAUGAUUUUAGGAUCUGACAAUUUAGAAUAUUUCAGUGACUUUCAUUUCACACAAACAAUCCAUUUCAGAUUAUUUGGUGAGAAGUUUCGCUCAAAGAUUUAUCAGAUUAAUUAAAUGGACACUACGUCAUACCAACACUGUGAAAUUUAAACUAGAUGUAUGUAUACUAUGUAAUUUGGAUGAUUCGGCUAAAUUAAAACUUUCACAAUCGCAAGUUUCAGUCUCUGUGGGAAGAGAAGUGGUGGUGGCAGUGAGGUCACAUGGAGAGCCCACAAAUAACAUAAGAAAAUGAUUAUCCGGGAUUCUUAGUGGGUUUUUUAGUGCGUGGGCCACCACAAAAUCCUUAAGGAUCGGUUACAAAAACUACUAAUUAAGAACCGAUCUUAGUGAGUUUCUUACACUGUUCGCAGGUCCCACUGACACGUGGCGGCCCGCGAUUGGUUUGCUUUUUAAUUUUUUUUUUUUUUUUAAAAAAAAACUAAGAAACCCAAAAACUAAGAAAUCCAUUGGGUUUUUUAGGGAUAAUCAUGGCCUUAGAUGCCUUGAAGAAAGACCGAGCAUGUAUGGAACCCUCACCUGUCUUGUCAAAUCCGCUCCGUCUCUAAAAAAAAAAAAAACCAACAACAACCUAUUGGCGGACUAUCUAUUAGCAUCAGUAUCUAUUUGCAUGGACACGGAAACUACAUGCAAUGCCGUCCCAUAAUUUGGGAUGACCUAAAGCACAAAAAAAAUUGUGUGGCCUAUUAUAUAAAUACCAACAAUAUAUAGCAAUACACUAACAUCAAACCAGUACAAAAGUGUAAAAAGUAAUCAAAUGGUUAAAAUAAAAACUAUAUUGGACAAAAGGGGGAUCGAACUAUGGUAUCCUAACUCAAUUCAAACUUGUUAACGAUUAGACCUAGCUAAUAUUUGGUGAUAUGUGGCCUUAAUUUUUCUUCUAUAUAUUGUGGCCUAAAGCAUAUGCUCUAGUUGCCUUAUGGCAGGGACGGGCCUGACUACAUGAAAUCAAUGUCGAAAGACAUCAAUAAAGUCAAUGCACUGAGCGUAUGUGAAAAUCCUCCAUUGUUACUUAACAACACUCGCAAGGACAUAUGCCACAGUAACCUAUCUCCCCCAACAACAUAAAAGAAAAAUGCGACCAAUCUUACUAUUACAAACAAAUAAAAUAAAUGAUAUAUUUCAUAUAAAACCUACUCUACAAAAUUUUAUAUUUUAUGCUUCAACUAUUAGUCAUUCAAUUUGUUUAUUCAAAAAAUAUAAACGUUAUUUCACUACUUUGAAAUAAAUUUAUACACCUCGCGUAUGUCAAUAAAAUAGCAAUCCCUCGUAUACAGAAUAUACAUCCAAUUGAUAAAUGUAAAGCUGAUCCUCAACAUCGUUGAGACUUCCAUAAUAACGGCUCCACAAUUUAAACAAAUAGCUACAACAUCAACUUAUUUGUUCAAAAAAAUUCUUUACUGAUAUUUUACGCUAAGAAAAACAUCAGACAAUUUCUAUUCAGGGAUGGUCUAUAUUUUUUUCAACGGAGAUCACUAAGAGAUUUUGCUUAUAAUUUAGUAGGCUGAAAAAGAUUUCUUCCCAUUAUUAUAUAUACUAGGGACAUUGCCCCCGCGCAAGCGCGGGGUUGUGGACAAAGUUCUUGUUUCAUCUCAAUAUUUUUGCUAGGGUUAUUGUAGUUGUGAAUUUUGCGUUUUGAGUUGUUUUUCAAGUUUUUUUUAUUGUUGUUAUAGGGUUAGAGUUGUGAUGAUAAACUGUGUAUGCAUUGUUCUCCACUUAUGAAGGACUAAACUGUGUUAGUAAUGUGAUUGAUAUAAUUCGUGUUGUUGUUUGUUGUGUCACUGAAACUUAUUGUUUGUUUGUCUUUUUAAUUUGUUUCUUGUACUGUUGAGAGUACAUAAAUUAUAUUAAAGUUGUUGAAAAUACUUUUUGUUUCUGGAUAUUUUUUCUCCAGUUUAGUCGUGUAAGUUGUGUGUAUUAAGUAAUAAUUUUUAUUAUCCUUAUUAUGUUUGUAAUAUUUUUUUAUUUUAUUUUUAAACUUGUUGCUCUUAUUGGACCUUUAAAACAAAUACAUGAAGACUUGUAGAAAUAACUAUAAGAUGAGUGACAGUUCUGAGUAUUUGGGCUUUAAUGAGUUUUAAACGAAUUUAUGUAUUUUUCAUAAGAAGAUAAUAGCAUUGGCCUGUUGACAUUGGACAUGUAAGCUAUUUUUAUAAGACAAGAGGAGUGAGCAGGUGGAGCUGUUGUUGCCACCUUUGUGUCUGUCGGGAUUGUCUCUUGUAUCUCUUGUUGUGGCUGUGUUUGUUUAUUUUUUAUUUGAUGGGGAAUAUGUGAACAAAAAUCAUUGUUAGUUGUAUUUAUCAUAGUUCAUAACUUACUUUGCUUUUUUGUUUAGUAAUUUCAUUGAUCUUGGUUGUCGUAUUCGUCUUUUUCGUUGCAAAAGUAAGUUUGUAAAUUGUUAAAUAGCUGACCGUGUAGUUUGUAUUUGUUUAACUGACUCGAUGUAUGUGUCGUUGCGAAAGUAAGUUUGUAAAUUGUUAAAUAGCUGGCCGUGUAGUUUGUAUUUGUUUAGAUGACUCGAUGUAUGUGUCGUUGAGUUUUAGUUGAAAUGAUUAGUUUGGCAUAUUUGUUUUGAAGUUUAUUUCUAAGAUUAGACAAAAAGGAGAGGUGAUCAUUAAUGAUUCGUCUUUUUUGGAAUUCUAGUUUUUGAUGUUUUGAUUGUUUGGGUUGUUGUGGUUUCUUUUAAGCUGUAAAAUAAAGAUUUGUGUAAAAUUAGUUUGAUAAGUAAGAGAGAAAAAUAGACGACCACAGAAUUUGGGUAGGAAAUAUUUUUGAUUAUUGAUGUUAGCACAAUAUAGAUAAUAGUAUAAAGAGAAUUGUGUGUUGAUUGUUUCUUACGGAUCAAUUAGGAGAUGGAUAACGACUCUAGUUGUUUCUUUGCUAAGGUCAGAGCCUUGGACAGAACGGAUUUGCCCAACUACAUCUGCGAGUUUAAAUAUCAUUUAUGAUAACAAAACAUAUUAUAAACUCAGAUGCAAUAUAAUAAUAUACCUGAGAGUUCUAGGUUUGUGUUCGCAAUGGCUUGGAAAUUGUCAAAUCGUCUAAUUAUGAUUGGAGAUUGAUCUCAGGAGCACCCGUGAUGACUUCAUCAAUAAUAGUACUUCAUCAAUAAUAGUUGGUGAAAUGAAACAAAUGAGGAAUGUAUGAUCAAUUAUCUUGUACAUGCUUGAGCAUCUAGCAACCUCAAAACGAUCGACUUUCAGUCUUUCACAAUGGAACUGGCUUUCAAAGAUGGCAUGUAAUGAUUAGCACGUCCGGCGGGAAUAAACCCAUGAAUCACAGAAUCUGCAAAUAAUAUUAUUUAACAAAGAAUCAGGAAAUCAAUUAAAAAUAAUUAUAUUAAAUAAGUGUGAUAAAUCGAAGAUUAACUUACCUUUUCAUCAAGGAAGAGAACCGUGAUUCGCAUAAACUCAAUGUCUUUCUUGAAGUUCAGAGAAUUCCAUAAGCGCGGAGGUUAGAGGCUAUGCUCUGACUACUACGACCAACACGGAGAGACUCGAAGGUUGAGUGACGGAUGCCGGAAACGCCGGUUUGAGGAACUGAAGAGGCAGAAAGACAUUUUCUAGAAGAUCCUUAAAGCUAAGAGGAAUCAAUGAGUUUUGUGGAGAUGCAAAUUGGGUUCAUCAAAGAUGAUAAUCAUAUAUAUAGGGUUUAAAGAAAGGCUACAAAUCAGGAACAUUUAAGAUCAAGCGAUUUAAGAUGGGGAGAUAAAGAGUUCACCGGUGAAAAAAUAGAUUACGAACAGACACACAGCGCNNNNNNNNNNNNNNNNNNNNNNNNNNNNNNNNNNNNNNNNNNNNNNNNNNNNNNNNNNNNNNNNNNNNNNNNNNNNNNNNNNNNNNNNNNNNNNNNNNNNNNNNNNNNNNNNNNNNNNNNNNNNNNNNNNNNNNNNNNNNNNNNNNNNNNNNNNNNNNNNNNNNNNNNNNNNNNNNNNNNNNNNNNNNNNNNNNNNNNNNNNNNNNNNNNNNNNNNNNNNNNNNNNNNNNNNNNNNNNNNNNNNNNNNNNNNNNNNNNNNNNNNNNNNNNNNNNNNNNNNNNNNNNNNNNNNNNNNNNNNNNNNNNNNNNNNNNNNNNNNNNNNNNNNNNNNNNNNNNNNNNNNNNNNNNNNNNNNNNNNNNNNNNNNNNNNNNNNNNNNNNNNNNNNNNNNNNNNNNNNNNNNNNNNNNNNNNNNNNNNNNNNNNNNNNNNNNNNNNNNNNNNNNNNNNNNNNNNNNNNUUUAGGGUUUAAAGUUUAUACUACACAAUUAACAAAUAUCCCGCGCGUAGCGCGGACAAGCCACUAGUAAUAUAUAAUUUUGGAUUAUUAAAUAUUGCUUGAAUGUUAUUGGAUAACAAAAUACAUGACUUUUGAUUGGAUGGAAAUACGGCCGGCAAAUUAAUUUUUAAAAAAAUCUAAAAAAGUAAUAAAUUGCCAUUGUAAAUAAUUCUAAAACUAAGGGUAGAAGAAUCCUAGGAGGGAUUUUGCUUUAAUAGUAGGGGAAAUUACAUGUUUACCAAUUUCAUGCUACCACUUUUCAGUUUUACAAUCACUAAAGGGACACUUAUGACCUUGUUCUUUAUAUAUACUAGGAAACAAAUCCGCGCAUUCGCGCGGGCAAUCAAAAUCCUUUACCAAAAACUAAAUUAUUUAAUAUUCAUAAAUUGUAUAUAUUUAAUAAUUAUAUAUAUAAUACUUUUUUUAUUUUUUCAUUUAAAUACUGAAUAUAUUAGCUUAAAAUAAAAAAAUCAACAACAUAAGGAAAAAGAUGUAAAAUGUAUAUAACAAAUUAAAUAUAAAUUGACUUUUGAAUUUAUAGAACAAUAGAUAUACUUUUUUAUUAGUAAUAUCGGUUGAGACAAUGGUAAAGACUGGCUAGACAAGAAGUUCAUGUUCAGUAUUAGGAAUAUCAACCUUUUGUUUAAUCUUUGCGGAUUCUUUAAUCUACGGGACAGCUGUCUCGACACGAAUUUUUUUUUUCCUUCUGUAAUGUAGAAAUUAAAAUUAAUUCCUCUCUUGCGUGUUUACUAUUUCACUGCCAUGGCAUUUAUCGGAGUAAAUCAUAUUCUAUAAAUAUGAUAUUUAUCUAGUAUGAUCAACUGGAUGAAGCAGAGGACAUAUAGUCAUGGACUAAAGCAAGCUAUGAAAAGUAACUGCUUACAGACUACCAAGAUAUAUGAUAUAUGAGAUCGAUGAUAUCGAUGAAGUUUUUUUUUUUUUUUCAAACUUACAACUUUAUUAUAUCGAUGAAGUUUAUUUUCAAAUCUUUCUUUUAAAAGUUUGGGAGCCCUUCAUCUCAACAAGUAUUUUAUAGAGGACUCAGUUUCAGGUCUUGACAUUGGCAUAACAAAAAGGCAUCCUUGUCGCAACAAAGCCCAUAUACAGUGAUAAAAUAGUAGAUUCACUUUGUAUUUUUCUUACCUAUAAUCGGUAUUUUUAGCAUGUGCAAUCAUCUAAUAAAUGCUACUUGGGUGUCAUCCUUGUCUUGUUGUGCAGUUUCCUAAUGUUCCUCGCCAAGGAUUUGAUUCAGAGUAUAAUUCUUACCAAUAAAUGUAAAUCUCUUAAUUUAGACUUUGAUCUCUAGGCAUUUUCUUGAAUUAGAUGGGGUAUGCCCUUUUUUUUUCUUGACCAAACCAUAUUUUCAUUACUACUUUAAAUCCAAGGUUUAAGGAGCAUACAAAGCUGAUUUAGCAAAAGAAUCAACUUCAAAAAAUCUUUUCACAAAAAUAAACCACUUAAAUAAUACACCAGUUGAAAUACAUAUAAUGUUUUUAAUGUACAUAAAAAUAAAGUAAUAGUUUUAAAUUAAAGAAUUUGAAAAUGUGUCAAAAGGACAAAGGAAAUAUCAUAUGUUGUUUUGGUAACUUAAAACAAAAAGUUCUUUGUGAUUAUACUAACAAUUAAUUAAAUCUAACGCAUGUAACAAAAAUGAGGAUAGUUUAACAUCUCAAUUUAAAAAUACCAUAAAUGAAACAAUUGUUUUAACUUUUGUCAAAUAUUAGGUUACACAAAUCUCUUUUUAUGAUAAGUAAAGUUUAUGUUUUAUCAAAACUAAGAUACAUAAAUAUAAAAAGAAAUUCUAAUGUUUGUAUGUGAUUCUUCAAAAGUCUUCUAUGAUCAUUUAGAUCUUAAAGUAGUUACAAUGGUUAUUUUUUAAAAAUUGUAAUGAUUUUUAUAAAUAGUUGUAAAUCUUCAUCUAAGCAAUUGCAAUGAUUCAUUUAGAUGAUUUUAUCCAUUAAAUCUGCAACAGAACAUUCUAUGUUCUCAGCCUUUUGUUUUGCUUAAAUAUGAUGAUUUUAUUCAAGACCGUUGGAAUUUGAAUAAUAUGGUACUGAAUAAUGUUUAUAUAUCUUUACUUAUCACAUAAUUUGUAUACUAUGGUACUGUAUAUUAGCGACACUUGUUUGAAAGUAAGAUUCAUAUUUUUCAAUAGCUUUAAACUAUCUUGAAAAUUUUAUUAUUUUCAAAAUUUUAAGAUAUAAUGAAAUUUUUUAUCAAAAUUUUGAUUUGAGAGCGUUUUGAAAAUUGAAGUUAGGAGAAAAUGUUGUACAAAUUGUAAUAUAUAGAGUUGAAAAAUAUUAGUUUAUAAACUCUUCAAGAAAAAAGCAGUUAUAAAAGAAAGAAAAAUAUAAUUUAUAGCCAAAAAAAACAUUAUCUUCAAUAAAAUUAGUGAAGUAAGUUUUAACUUUUUUAAUUUUUGAAAGUAAGUUUUGAUAAAGAGUCACAUUUGUAAAAACCAUUUGCUGGGAUUCUUUGAUUGUGUUUUUUUUUAACACUUAGAAAAACUGAGAAACAGACAACAAGAUACCAGCAGGUACCGUAGAGAUCUAAAGAGAAACAUGAAAGAACUAAGCCAAAAGAAACAAGAUGGCAAUUAAAGGUGCCACUGGCACAUAUCCCCUGAGCCAGCCAAUGGAAUAGAAAAUUAGACACCUGCCUCCUGUUGGAUAGCUUGAUGAAGCCAGCAAGGUCCACCAGCGGGUGACAUAAGAUUGCGUACAGAAGUAUGAGACCACACUAUCUGCAAUCGCUGUUGCUACAUUAUUUUUAUGGUCAAGCACGUGGAAUCAGACCAUUCAUCAAAACGGUGUGUCGGUGCAGCAACUCAAGGAUUUUUGUAGAAAGUGAUAAGAGUUCAGGAUAGCUGUAUGGAUCCAGAAGUGACUGUCUCACCUCCGCAGAAGAAACUUCAAACAGAAUUUUUCGUUGCUUCAGAUAAUCAGGUUGCCCAUCUCUUCCACAGCCCACAACAUAGCCUUUAAGUUUGACUCCUGUUUAGAUAGGGGAGAACAGAAAGCACGGCGGCUAUGGUCAAGCGGACGGCACUGACUAUCUCUUGUAACCCAGCUAGCACCCCUCAGAGGUCCAGAGCUAUCCCAAGCCAUGCCAACAUUGCAUUUGAUAAAACAAGGGGAGACUUUUCCCAAGAGUUGUGUGAAGACGGCUUGUUUCCAAAGCCGCAGCCUGAUUAUUCUCAUUGUAGUUAACCAUAUACCAAAUAUCUCCCUCUUCCAGCGACUUAGAGAUGCAUGAAGCAGAGGAGAUUCGGCUUUUCUCAAACACCAAAGCAUUUCUCCCUUUCCAAAGGUUCCAGAGUAUCCAAGGGAAGGACUUAAUAUUACCAUAAUCUGUCCUCUGUUUUUUUUUUGUGCUUGCUACCAGAUAGGAAGGUUCAGAAAGAUAGAUGACUGCGAAAAACCAGAGGGAGGAGGCUCUAUUUGUUCCAGACGCCGGGCUUCCACUGCUGUAGGACAGUGAACAGGACAUGAAAAAUCGUUUCCAAGGCUUGACAACACGCAUGACAAAUUGUGUUUGACCAUUCAUAAUUCAAAAGCACAUAAUAUUCACUAAUACACAGGUACAAUAUAAAAAGUAGAGUUAUUAUAUUUAUAUUUGUAGUUUACUAAUUUAUAACAGUAUAAAUGUUUUUCCUAGAAACUUACUGAUGAAGUCUCCCACUUCUUUUUCAAGUCCUCACCACUUAAACGCACGCACAGGCACAGAUGAAUGGUGCACUUGAGGAUGCUGUUGAGUCUGUGAUAGUCUAUAGUAAUUGUUCUGGUCCUCCUAACAAUCCCUCAUUUACAAAUUCUUAGCGAUCUAGACCACCUUUUGAAACCUUAAUUAAAAAUGAUGUAUGCAGAAUGUAACAGACAUCAUACAUAUGACGUUACGUAAUCCCAUCUUAACAAGCCUGAAUAUAAAAAAUUUAUAUAAAAGGUAUUAAUUUCCUAAACCAUUAGAUGAUCAGCGCACUGUCUGUACGGUGAUGCUGGAUCUGCUUUACAAUCAAAAAAAAUCUGAAUCGCACUGCAGUGUAUAAAUAUUCAAUAGACAUCAUGAUUGAGUUCUUCUGAAUCGUGGAUCCUACACAGACUAAUCAAACAAUGAAUGGGAAGCGUCUGAAAUCAUCAGAAAAGGAAAAAAGGAGAAAGGAAAAAUGAACUAAAGCGGAAAAAAUUACACUGGAUUUGGAUGCGGAGGAGAGAGAGAGAUAAGAAGCAUAGAAAACUUGAAACAAAUCUGCAACUCGAUACAAUCUCUUCAAUAUAUAAACUUCUGAACAGUUACAAGAAAAUGAUGACGGUUCCACAGAAGAUCUAGAAGAUCUGAGUGUGAAAAGAUACAACCUUUAAGGAAAAAACAGAUGAUCUGUUUAAGAGACGCCUGUGAGGAGGUAUGAUGAAGCCGUCGAUUGCUAUAGUAAAUCUAGUACGUCAUUCUUUUGUUUCUAAACAAAACCUUAACCAUUAAAUUAUAUCACAGACACGAUUCUCACCAUUAGAUUUUGAUUUUUUUUCCUAUAAUAAAUUGAUGAUGUCAUCAGUUAGAUAAAAAAGAUUUGCUAUUAUAUAUAGAUAAUAAAUAUAUACUAUUUCUAAAUUCAAACCCUAAACCCUAAAACUCAAUUCUAAACCCUAAAUCAUCAAUCAUAAACCAUAUUUUAUUUUGAAAUAUGAACCCUAAACCCUAAACCAUCAAUCUUAAACCCUUUAUUUUUUUUUCGAAUUAUACUAUUUUGAAAUAUGAACCCUAAACCCUAAACCAUCAAUCUUAAACCCUUUUAUUUUUUGAAAUACAAACCCUAAAUCCUGAAACAUCAAUUCUAAACUCUAAACCUCGAAACAUCAACUCUAAACCCUAAACCUUCAACUCUAAACCCUAAAACAUCAACUCUAAACCCUAAACCCUAAAAUUCAACCCUAAACCCUAAACCAUCAACACUAAACCAUAAAUUUUCAACACUAAAACCUAAACCCUAAAAAGUAAACUCUAAACCCUAAAAAGAAAACUCUAAACCCUAAACCCUAAAAAAUUGCCCCUAAACCCUAAAACAUCUAACUCUAAACCCUAAACCUUCAACUUAAAACCUAAACCCUAAAUCCUAAACCCUAAACCCUAAACCCUAAACCCUAAAACCGUAGAGUUGAUGUUUUAGGGUUUAGAUUUGAAGGUUUAGGGGUUUAGGGUUUACAGUUUACAUUUAGGGUUUAGAGUUGAUUUUUAAGGUUUAGAUUUGAAGGUUUAGGGCUUAGGGUUCAAAUUUCAGAAAAAUAUAGGGUUUAGAGUUUACGUUUAGGGUUUUGAGCUGAUGUUUUAGGGUUUAGAUAUGAAGGUUUAGGGUUUAGAGUUUAGAGUUGAAGUUUCGCGGUUUAGGGUUUAGAGUUGAUGUUUCAUGGUUUAGGGUUUAGAGUUGAUGAUUUAGGGUUUAAAGUUGAUGUUUUAAGUUUAGAUUUAGGGUUUAGGGUUUACGUUUAGGGUUUAGAGUUGAUGUUUAGGAGUUUAGAUUUGAAGGUUUAGGGUUUAAAGUUAAUGUUUCGGGGUUUAGGGUUUAGAGUUGAUGUUUCAUGGUUUAGAGUUUAGAGUUGAUGAUUUAAGGUUUAAAGUUGAUGUUAAGAGUUUAGUUAACCGUAUAUUUUUUUUGGUCAAAGUUAAUCAAAAAGUUAUAAAUGUCUUUUACCCUUCAUUAAAGAUGAUGGUAAAAGUGGUUAGUGUAAACAUGAAAAGUGAUACUUUGAAAAUAGUAUUUUGGGCAAUUUUCCUCACAAAAUUAGGAUAUUGUUAAGAAUAUCGUAUAAUAUUGUUAAGAAUAUUUCCAUAAAUAAUAAUAAGAUAUUGCUGUGGUGGUUUUGGAAAUAUAAAUAAUAUUUUUAUGAACAGAAAAUUCCAAUACCUAUUAACAUAAGGUGUUCGUACGUGGUGUGUAUCUAAUUUAUUACUUUCACUUGUAGUUUAGACAGAAACUUUAAUUAUAACUGUACCUCAACUCUAAAACAUGGGAUUAGUCAUAAUGUUGCAAUAAGUUUUGAUUUAACAACUUUACAAAGGGUGUAAAGUUUAGGGUUUAGAAUUGAUUUUUAAGGUUUAGAUUUGAAGGUUUAGGGUUUAGGGUUCAAAUUUCAGAAACUAUAGGGUUUAGAGUUUACGUUUAGGGUUUUGAGCUGAUGUUUUAGGGUUUAGAUUUGAAGGUUUAGGGUUUAGAGUUUAGAGUUGAAGUUUCGCGGUUUGGGGUUUAGAGUUGAUGUUUCAUGGUUUAGGGUUUAGAGUUGAUGAUUUAGGGUUUAAAGUUGAUGUUUUAAGUUUAGAUUUAGGGUUUAGGGUUUACGUUUAGAGUUUAGAGUUGAUGUUUUAGGGUUUAGAUUUGAAGGUUUAGGGUUUAGAAUUAAUGUUUCAGGGUUUAGGGUUUAGAGUUGAUGUUUCAUGGUUUAUAGUUUAGAGUUGAUGAUUUAAGGUUUAAAGUUGAUGUUAAAAGUUUAGUUAACCGUAUAUUUUUUUUGGUCAAAGUUAAUCAAAAAGUUAUAAAUGUCUUUUACUCUUCAUUAAAGAUGAGGGUAAAAGUGGUUAGUGUAAACAUGAAAAGUGAUACUUUGAAAAUAGUAUUUUCGGCAAUUUUCCUCACAAAAUUAGGAUAUUGUUAAGAAUAUCGUAUAAUAUUGUUAAGAACAUUUCCAUAAAUAAUAAUAAUAUAUUGUUGUGGUGGCUUUGGAAAUAUAAAUAAUAUUUUUAUGAACAGAAAAUUCCAAUACCUAUUAACAUAAGGUGUUCGUACGUGGUGUGUAUCUAAUUUAUUACUUUCACUUGUAGUUUAGACAGAAACUUUAAUUAUAACUGUACCUCAACUCUAAAACAUGGGAUUAGUCAUAAUGUUGCAAUAAGUUUUGAUUUAACAACUUUACAAAGGGUGUAACUCAAAAUUGUAACUCAACCAUAAUACAUAAUAACUCAAACUUAAAAUAAAAACAAAAAAAAACUAAAUUUAAUGCAUGACUGAUGAUAUGUUUGAGUUAUCUAUGAGUUAGAAGCUUAACUCAAACUAAAUCAAUGUUACCACAUGUUAUAGAAUACACCGAAUGAAUAUAUUAUUAAGUAUGUGAAAUUUAUUUAUACAUCAGUACAUGUAGGGUUAUUAACAAUACUAAGUAAUUGCAAAGAGAUCCUUUGAGUAUAUAUUAUUUACUUAACAUGCCCCCUCAAGAUGGUGGUGCUGUGGUAACACCAAUCUUGGACCUUGAAGACUGAAAAGGAGCUCGUGCGAGUGGCUUAGUCAGACCAUCAGUGAGCUAAUCAUGUGUAGAGACGUGUUGCACACGUAGACGGUGAUUCUGUAUCUGGCCGCGGACAAAGUGAUAAUCAAGGGCUAUAUGUUUCAUCCUAGAGUGGAAAACUGGAUUGGCGCAAAGAUAGGUGGCGCCAAGGUUGUCACAGUACGCGGUUUGAGUUGCAGUAACAGGCACGCCAAGCUCAAGAAGAAGAGAGACUACCCAGCUAAGCUCGGAUGCAGUGUUCGCAACUGCGCGAUAUUCCGCUUCUGUUGAGGAGCGAGUCACGCCUUUUUGCUUCUUUGUUGACCAUGAAACAGGCUGAGAACCCAAGAAGAUGAGAUAUGCAUUUGUUGAUACGUAAUCAUCGGAGUCUCCAGCCCAGUCCACGCCAGAAUAGGCAUGAAGAGUUGAUGUUUGCUGUUUACACAACAUUAUUCCAUGAUCAAGAGUACCAUAGAGAUAGCGAAGGACUUGUUUAACUGCUUGCCAGUGAUCUGAAGUAGGAUAGUGCAUAUACUGUGAGAGUUUAUUGACAGCGUAUGACACACCUGGGCGUGUUAGAGCAAGGUACUGGAGGCUACCGACGAUCCUGCGAUAGGGCUGCGGAUCAGCUAGUGGCGAACCAGAGUUGAGUGUGAGCUUUGGAUGAGUAGGAAGCAGAGUUGCAACCGGCUUAGGAUGUAGCAUGUCCGCUUUCUCAAGAAGAUCGGUAAUGUACUUCCUUUGUUUGAGAUGUAAGCCUUGUGAUGUACGAACAACUUCAAUGCCUAGAAAAUAACUCAGGUUGCCCAUAUCCUUGAUAGAGAAUCAAGUAGCAAGAGAGGAGUUGACUUGUUGAACCAGGUUCGAAUCACUGCCAGUGACUAAGAUGGUAUCAACGUAUACCAAGACAUAGACAAACUUCGCUUGUUGCUUGUAGAUAAACAGUGAUGUGUCCGCCAAAGAGUUAUGAAAUCCAGACUGAAUCAGAUAGGACUUAAGCUCAGAGUACCAAGCACGCAAUGCUUGUUUUAAACCAUAGAGUGCCUUGCGAAGCCGGCAAACAUGAUUGGGUUGAUCCUUAUCAGUGAAGCCCGAAGGUUGUGACAUGAAGACUGCUUCAUUGAGAUGCCGUUGGAGAAAAGCCGUGUGUUGACAUCUAUCUGUCUAACCGGCCAGUCAUUGUUAACCGCCAAGCCUAGAACAAUCAUGAUCGUUGUAGAUUUAAUGACUGGACUAAAGAUGUCCUCAUAAUCAACGCCUUGUUGCUGAUGAUAUCCUUUAGCAACAAUACGAGCUUUGUAGCGAUCGAUGGUUCUAUCAGAGUUAUACUUGAUAGUAAAUACCAAGCGACAGCCAACCACAUUCAUAGUUUUAGUAACCUCAACCAAAUCCCAAGUUGAGUGCUCAGAAGUAGAAUUGAAUUCUUUGGACAUUGCAUCACGCCAGUGUUUAUGUUUCGGUUUAGAGUUGAUGUUUCGGGGUUUAGGGUUUACAGUUGAUGUUUCAUGGUUUAGGGUUUAGAAUUGAUGAUUUAGGGUUUAAAGUUGAUGUUUUAAGUUUAGAUUUAGGGUUUACAUUUUAAGGGUUUAGAGUUGAUGUUUUAGGGUUUAGAUUUGAAGGUUUAGAGUUGAUGUUUCGGGGUUUAGGGUUUAGAGUUGAUGUUUCAUGGUUUUGGGUUUAGAGUUGAUGAUUUAGGAUUUUGAGUUGAUGUUUUAAGUUUAGAUUAGUUAACCAUAUGUUUUUUUUGGUCAAAGUUAAUCAAAAAGUUAUAAAUGUCUUUUACUCUUCAUUAAAGAUGAGGGUAAAAGUGGUUAGUGUAAACAUGAAAAGAGAUACUUUGAAAAUAGUAUUUUCGGCAAUUUUCCUCACAAAAUUAGGAUAUUGUUAAGAAUAUCGUAUAAUAUUGUUAAGAAUAUUUCCAUAAAUAAUAAUAAGAUAUUGCUGUGGUGGUUUUGGAAAUAUAAAUAAUAUUUUUAUGAACAGAAAAUUCCAAUACCUAUUAACAUAAGGUGUUCGUACGUGGUGUGUAUCUAAUUUAUUACUUUCACUUGUAGUUUAGACAGAAACUUUAAUUAUAACUGUACCUCAACUCUAAAACAUGGGAUUAGUCAUAAUGUUGCAAUAAGUUUUGAUUUAACAACUUUACAAAGGGUGUAACUCAAAAUUGUAACUCAACCAUAAUACAUAAUAACUCAAACUUAAAAUAAAAACAAAAAAAAACUAAAUUUAAUGCAUGACUGAUGAUAUGUUUGAGUUAUCUAUGAGUUAGAAGCUUAACUCAAACUAAAUCAAUGUUACCACAUGUUAUAGAAUACACCGAAUGAAUAUAUUAUUAAGUAUGUGAAAUUUAUUUAUACAUCAGUACAUGUAGGGUUAUUAACAAUACUAAGUAAUUGCAAAGAGAUCCUUUGAGUAUAUAUUAUUUACUUAACAUGCCCCCUCAAGAUGGUGGUGCUGUGGUAACACCAAUCUUGGACCUUGAAGACUGAAAAGGAGCUCGUGCGAGUGGCUUAGUCAGACCAUCAGUGAGCUAAUCAUGUGUAGAGACGUGUUGCACACGUAGACGGUGAUUCUGUAUCUGGCCGCGGACAAAGUGAUAAUCAAGGGCUAUAUGUUUCAUCCUAGAGUGGAAAACUGGAUUGGCGCCAAGGUUGUCACAGUACGCGGUUUGAGUUGCAGUAACAGGCACGCCAAGCUCAAGAAGAAGAGAGACUACCCAGCUAAGCUCGGAUGCAGUGUUCGCAACUGCGCGACAUUCCGCUUCUGUUGAGGAGCGAGUCACGCCUUUUUGCUUCUUUGUUGACCAUGAAACAGGCUGAGAACCCAAGAAGAUGAGAUAUGCAUUUGUUGAUACGUAAUCAUCGGAGUCUCCAGCCCAGUCCACGCCAGAAUAGGCAUGAAGAGUUGAUGUUUGCUGUUUACACAACAUUAUUCCAUGAUCAAGAGUACCAUAGAGAUAGCGAAGGACUUGUUUAACUGCUUGCCAGUGAUCUGAAGUAGGACAGUGCAUAUACUGUGAGAGUUUAUUGACAGCGUAUGACACACCUGGGCGUGUUAGAGCAAGGUACUGGAGGCUACCGACGAUCCUGCGAUAGGGCUGCGGAUCAGCUAGUGGCGAACCAGAGUUGAGUGUGAGCUUUGGAUGAGUAGGAAGCAGAGUUGCAACCGGCUUAGGAUGUAGCAUGUCCGCUUUCUCAAGAAGAUCGGUAAUGUACUUCCUUUGUUUGAGAUGUAAGCCUUGUGAUGUACGAACAACUUCAAUGCCUAGAAAAUAACUCAGGUUGCCCAUAUCCUUGAUAGAGAAUCAAGUAGCAAGAGAGGAGUUGACUUGUUGAACCAGGUUCGAAUCACUGCCAGUGACUAAGAUGUCAUCAACGUAUACCAAGACAUAGACAAACUUCGCUUGUUGCUUGUAGAUAAACAGUGAUGUGUCCGCCAAAGAGUUCUGAAAUCCAGACUGAAUCAGAUAGGACUUAAGCUCAGAGUACCAAGCACGCAAUGCUUGUUUUAAACCAUAGAGUGCCUUGCGAAGCCGGCAAACAUGAUUGGGUUGAUCCUUAUCAGUGAAGCCCGAAGGUUGUGACAUGAAGACUGCUUCAUUGAGAUGCCGUUGGAGAAAAGCCGUGUGUUGACAUCUAUCUGUCUAACCGGCCAGUCAUUGUUAACCGCCAAGCCUAGAACAAUCCUGAUCGUUGUAGAUUUAAUGACUGGACUAAAGAUGUCCUCAUAAUCAACGCCUUGUUGCUGAUGAUAUCCUUUAGCAACAAUACGAGCUUUGUAGCGAUCGAUGGUUCUAUCAGAGUUAUACUUGAUAGUAAAUACCAAGCGACAGCCAACCACAUUCAUAGUUUUAGUAACCUCAACCAAAUCCCAAGUUGAGUGCUCAGAAGUAGAAUUGAAUUCUUUGGACAUUGCAUCACGCCAGUGUUUAUGUUUCAUGGCCUGUUGCCAAGUAGAUGGAAUCCAGUGGGGAUCGGCCUGCAAGCUUGCAGUAAGGUUGUAUCGAGCAACUGGUUUGAAAAUGUUGUUCUUGGAACGUGUGGUUAUUUGAUGCCGAGGCUCUGCAUGCUGUGGUUGUGUAGAAGCAGGUUGAGUAGCAACCAGCAUGUUUUAAGUUUAGAUUUAGGGUUUAGGGUUUACGUUUAGAAAACAUGGGAUUAGUCAUAAUGUUGCAAUAAGUUUUGAUUUAACAACUUUACAAAGGGUGUAACUCAAAAUUGUAACUCAACCAUAAUACAUAAUAACUCAAACUUAAAAUAAAAACAAAAAAAAACUAAAUUUAAUGCAUGAUUGAUGAUAUGUUUGAGUUAUCUAUGAGUUAGAAGCUUAACUCAAACUAAAUCAAUGUUACCACAUGUUAUAGAAUACACCGAAUGAAUAUAUUAUUAAGUAUGUGAAAUUUAUUUAUACAUCAGUACAUGUAGGGUUAUUAACAAUACUAAGUAAUUGCAAAGAGAUCCUUUGAGUAUAUAUUAUUUACUUAACAUGCCCCCUCAAGAUGGUGGUGCUGUGGUAACACCAAUCUUGGACCUUGAAGACUGAAAAGGAGCUCGUGCGAGUGGCUUAGUCAGACCAUCAGUGAGCUAAUCAUGUGUAGAGACGUGUUGCACACGUAGACGGUGAUUCUGUAUCUGGCCGCGGACAAAGUGAUAAUCAAGGGCUAUAUGUUUCAUCCUAGAGUGGAAAACUGGAUUGGCGCAAAGAUAGGUGGCGCCAAGGUUGUCACAGUACGCGGUUUGAGUUGCAGUAACAGGCAUGCCAAGCUCAAGAAGAAGAGAGACUACCCAGCUAAGCUCGGAUGCAGUGUUCGCAACUGCGCGAUAUUCCGCUUCUGUUGAGGAGCGAGUCACGCCUUUUUGCUUCUUUGUUGACCAUGAAACAGGCUGAGAACCCAAGAAGAUGAGAUAUGCAUUUGUUGAUACGUAAUCAUCGGAGUCUCCAGCCCAGGAUGUUUUAAGUUUAGAUUUAGGGUUUAGGGUUUACUUUGAAGGUUUCAUUUAGAGUUGAUGAUUUAGGGUUUAAAGUUGAUGUUUUAAGUUAGAUUUAUAUAAAAGUAUUAAUUUCCUAAACCAUUAGAUGAUCAGCGCACUGUCUGUACGGUGAUGCUGGAUCUGCUUUACAAUCAAAAAAAUCUGAAUCGCACUGCAGUGUAUAAAUAUUCAAUAGACAUCAUGAUUGAGUUCUUCUGAAUCGUGGAUCCUACACAGACUAAUCAAACAAUGAAUGGGAAGCGUCUGAAAUCAUCAGAAAAGGAAAAAAGGAGAAAGGAAAAAUGAACUAAAGCGGAAAAAAUUACACUGGAUUUGGAUGCGGAGGAGAGAGAGAGAUAAGAAGCAUAGAAAACUUGAAACAAAUCCGCAACUCGAUACAAUCUCUUCAAUUUAUAAACUUCUGAACAGUUACAACUGUCAAGGGAAAAUGAUGACGGUUCCACAGAAGAUCUAGAAGAUCUGAGUGCGAAAAGAUACAACCUUUAAGGAAAAAACAGAUGAUCUGUUUAAGAGACGCCUGUGAGGAGGUAUGAUGAAGCCGUCGAUUGCUAUAGUAAAUCUAGUACGUCAUUCUUUUGUUCCUAACCAAAACCUUAACCAUUAAAUUAUAUCACAUACACGAUUCUCACCAUUAGAUUUUGAUUUUUUCCUAUAAUAAAAUGAUGAUGUCAUCAGUUAGAUAAAAAAAGAUUUGCUAUUAUAUAUAGAUAAUAAAUAUAUACUAUUUCGAAAUUCAAACCCUAAACCCUAAACUCAAUUCUAAACCCUAACCAUCAAUCAUAAACCAUAUUAUAUUUUGAAAUAUGAACCAUAAACCCUAAACCAUCAAGCUUAAACCCUUUUAUUUUUUGAAAUACAGACCCUAAAUCCUGAAACAUCAAUUCUAAACUCUAAACCCCGAAACAUCAACUCUAAACUCUAAACCCUAAACCCUAAAAUUCAGCUCUAAACCCUAAACCAUCAACUCUAAACCCUAAAUUUUCAACACUAAACCCUAAACCCUAAAACGUAAACUCUAAACCCUAAAAAGAAAACUCUAAACCCUAAACCCUAAAAAAAUGACCCUAAACCCUAAAACAUCAACUCUAAACCCUAAACCUUCAACUUAAAAUCUAAACCCUAAAUCCUAAACCCUAAACCCUAAACCCUAAAACCGUAGAGUUGAUGUUUUAGGGUUUAGAUUUGAAGGUUUAGGGGUUUAGGGUUUACAGUUUACUUUUAGGGUUUAGAGUUUACAGUUUACUUUUAGGGUUUAGGGUUUAGAGUUUAGGGUUUAGGGUUUAGGGUUUUGAUUUUUAAGGUUUUGAUUUGAAGGUUUAGGGUCUAGGAUUCAAAUUUCAGAAAAAUAUAGGGUUUAGAGUUUACGUUUAGGGUUUUGAGCUGAUGUUGUAGGGUUUAGAUAUGAAGGUUAAGGGUUUAGAGUUUAGAGUUGAAGUUUCGCGGUUUAGGGUUUAGAGUUGAUGUUUCAUGGUUUAGGGUUUAGAGUUGAUGAUUUAGGGUUUAAAGUUGAUGUUUUAAGUUUAGAUUUAGGGUUUAGGGUUUACUUUGAAGGUUUCAUUUAGAGUUGAUGAUUUAGGGUUUAAAGUUGAUGUUUUAAGUUAGAUUUAUAUAAAAGUAUUAAUUUCCUAAACCAUUAGAUGAUCAGCGCACUGUCUGUACGGUG
rnacentral:lncRNA from 1 species